rnacentral:lncRNA from 1 species
UAUAUAUAAUUUUUUUAUGGCCAAUUUGCAUAAAAAAUUACUAGUUUUCAGCUUUUAUAAAAUUAGACCGUCUUUUUGGAUUUUACAGAUUCAGGUCUGAUUUUCAGAAAACCGACAAAAAUACUCUUGUUCCCUUUUAGUGCGUCUGGGGUGCUUUCGGAAGCACGGAGCGCUCCGUGCUUCCACUUUGUUUUCGAUGUUGGGACUUUCAAAUCGACGAUCGGCUCCGUUAGACUUGAUCUAGAGUAUUUGAAGUAUUUAGAAAAUAAAUUUUGCGAUUUUUCGAUAUCAUUUGCCUAGUGAUCGAAGGGGCUCAAAAUCAAUAAUUUUAACGGCCGUGGUNAAAUUUAGUUGGGCAUAUUUUGUAGGACAAUAAAUAUUGUCACAUAGCAUUUUUUACAAACCUGAGAUAAAGAUUAAAUAUUAUUUGACCGUACAUAUUUCAAUUGUCCUAUAAAACAUAAUUGAAAAAAAAGAAAAUUCUAAGGCCAAUUUGCAUAAAAAAUUCACUAGUUUAAGCUUUUGCAAAGAUAGCUCGCCUUUUUGGAUUUUGCAAAUUCAAAAUGGGUUUUCAAUAAAUUGACCAAAAUAUACUUGAUCCCUUUUCUCUCCUCUUUUUUUUUUUUUUUUUUUUUUUUUCUCUCUCGUUUUUUUUUAUCCCCAAAAGGGCGGCGGAGGCGGAGGCGGCCCCGGCCCGCCUCGCCUCUGUCCGGCGCACCCUCACCCUCACUCUCACCCGCACACCCUCCCCCGCCUUCCUCGCCUCCGACCCCGCCAACGCGUUGAUCCUCCUCCAUCGCCUCCCCAGCUCUUUACAAUAGUAAAGAUGCUAACGCUGUGUCCUCUUUCUCUUCUUUUUUUCUUUCAUUCUUUUUUUCUCUCUUCGACCCCUCUCCAUCAUCUCCGCGAUUCUUCACGACGGUAACAAAGACAGCGCCGCGUUCUCUUACACCGCCUUCGUCGGCGCAGACAUUAACAUCGGCGCCGGAGAAGGAGGACUCAGAGCGAGCGCGGGUAAAAGCGGAGCCAAGAAAAAAAUAUAAAAAAUAAAUAAAAUAAAAUAAAAUAAAAUAAAAAGAAUAAAGAAUAAAAUAUAGAAAAUAUUUUUUUCUACAAAAAAAAAAGAAUCAGAGAGAAAAGUAGAAGACGAUGAAGAUGCACUAUUUCAGAGGAACGUUGCACUGUUUUAAAGAAAAAUUACAUUUUUCUGAAUGAAAGUUGCACCCUUUGAACGAAAUUUGCAUUCUUUGGGCGAAAAUUACACUGUUUCUCCUCUUCCUCUACACAAAAACAAAGAGGAAGGAGGAGGAGAAAGAGGAGAAACAGUAUAAUUUUCGCCCAAAGAGUACAAUUAAGUUUCGUUAAAAGAGUGCAACUUUUAUUCAAAGAAGUGUAAUUUUUCUUAAAACAAUGCAACAUUCCUCUGAAAUAGUGCAUUUUCAUCAUCUUCUUCUUUUAUCUCUGAUUCUUUAUUUUUCUUGUAGAAAAAAAUAUUUUUCUUUAUAUUUUAUUCUGUAUUUUUUUAUUUUAUUUAUUUUCUAUAUUUUUUUUCUUGGCUCCGCUCUUACCCGCGCUCGCUCCGAGUCCUCUUUCUUCGACACCGAUGUCGAAGCUUGUACCAGCUAAGGCGGAGUAAGAGAAUGUGGCGCUGUCUUCGUUAUCGUCGUGGAGGCAGUAGAGGAGGAUUGAAGAGAAAAAAAAAAAAAGAAUGUCGUGGCGCGGUCUCAGCGAGGUCAGAGGUGAGGAAAGAGGGGGGUGCGCGGGUGUCAUGCUCUGGCACCGCCACUUUGGUCGGAUUCGGGCGCGCACACAGACCGUCGAACGGAUAGAGUUUCCCCUAUCCGCCCAGGACAUCACAAUCAAUACAAUUCAAUAGGCUCCAUUCAGGAACAGAAUGUAUACACAGAUUGUAUAAGGAGGCAUCAUAAACAUAAACUAAUACGCUAUUACAAGCAUUCACUUUACAUUCACAUUUACAUUACAUUUAAUUAUAUUUUUCCAAAUACAAUCAACUUUAUUGAAAUUUUAUUUCUUUUUUUUCUUUUCUAUACCCUAUGCUACAAUGACCCAGGGUACAUUUAUCUCGGAUCACAAGUGGUAAAGCGCUAUCUACCGAGCUACGCCCUCUUCUCGCGCCGCCGCGCCGCUCACGUGAGGACCUAAAAAACAUGAGGGUAAGAAUUAUAAACAUAGUUCCCAGUAAGUAUGACCACCCGAGGGAAGAGCUCGACCCACCAGAUCCAAAGGAGGCAAUAUAAGCAGAUUAAUCCAAUAGAUAAGCAGAUAAUUAUACUAUGUGCCAUAUGCGAGUAAUAAAAACAUCCAUACUUAUGUCUCAACGAAAUGCAAUAAUGAAAUCUAUGCCAGUAGGUAUUUCUUUUCUACUUUUUAUUUGACAAUCGAUUGCAUAUUCAACCAGCUCAUAAGGUUUCUCUUACCUUAGCCAAGCUAUAUCACCUGACUCGAUCUUGAGUCAAUCAUCCACAGCUUAUCGCCUUACUUGAAUUAGCUACCUGGCGGCAAAAUCAUAGCACACACCGAACAACGGCUUAAGUCGCAUGGCGGUGUAAUCCUUUACUUGACUUAGCCAUCUGGCGGCAAAAUCGACGCACAUGCCGAACAAUGGCUCAAGUCACUGGGCGGCAAAAUCAUCGCACACACCCCGGGUAUCCAACCUUCGACGGCGAAAUCGUCACACACGCCUAAGCUGACACCGAAAUCCAUCUGGCGGCGAAAUCGUCGCACACAUCGAGUUCCGAUACCAAAACCAUUAGAUGUGCACAUCAUUUUCCAUUCCAAGUCUCAAGGGUUCAUCAUUUUCCCUAUGUUGUCAACCUCUCUAGGUUUAUAGUCAUAUGUCCAAGUGGCCAUCCUACCACUAUAUUGUCCAAUCUAUGUUCAAUGAUACUAGGUUCAAUGACGUUUCCACCUAGAUUCACUCAACUCUAGGUUUAAUGACAUUCCAAUACAAGUGGUCUUCUUACCACUACAUUUUCCAAUUCCUAUAUUCAACAACAUUAGGUUCAAUACUCGAUCACAUUCUUUCCAGUCCUAGUUGUUCACACCUAGGAUUCAUAGUUUCUAUGACAUCUAGUCCAUUGAUUUUCCACUUGUCGAAUCCUCUAAUUAUCCUAGAGUUCAUCGACCUAUGUUCAAUGUUCAUACCUAGGCAUACAUUUAUAUAUCCUAUAUGUUUUCACAUGCCUAUGUCAUCAUCAUCCAAUGCAAGGUAAUUCCAUCUAGCAACAUAUGAUUUAUACAUCUAUAUUUAUAACAUAUAACCUACCAUACAUACAUGCAUCAAUGAGUAAUACAAAUAUUAAACUUUACUCUUUGGCAUGAAAGUGAUCUAAUCACUUCGGUGAAGCAUAACCCACCUCACAAUGCUUUCGAUUGCUUGCAGACACUUGCAAUCGGACACCCGCGGCCAACGUCACCCGAUUCGGCUCGAUACGCGAAAUUGACCACCGAACGCCCGUCGAUUUCAAAAUCAAAGUUGCCUAGGGCUCUCCUCUAACCUUCAAUUAGAGAACUAGAGGAUCAAUUUGGGGCUCUCCUCUAAUCUUCAAUUAGAGAACUAGAGGAUCAAUUUGAUUCAAAACCUCAAAACCCCAAAACCCCCAAUUCUAACCCUAAAUUUCAAUUUCUCUAAAAAUAUCUCAAAAUCUAUGGAGAAAUCUUGAUUAAACAAAUGUAGAAUCAUCUAGGAAACUAAAAUCUCAAUUCUUAAAAGGAUUUAGCAAAACCCUAGCCUUAAAUCCCAAGAUCUCACCUUUGCCACAAUCUCCCCAAGCUUCUUGUUGCUCCAAGAAGCUUGCUCCACUCCCCCAAGCCCUUGCCCAAGAUCAAUCCCACCAAAAUCUUCCAAGUUUUGGAGAUUUCUUGAGAGAGAAAGUGGAGAGAAGAGAGGGAGAGAAAGAGAGAAAGUGAGGGAGUGAGUGGGGGAGAAGAAGAGCCCUAGUUCUUUUAACCAUUUUCCCUCCACCAAAAUUACCAAAAUACCCUUAAUCUAGGUUGUUAGCGCGCGCAAGUUCCGGAAUCUGGCUUUAGGCUCUGGAACCCGUAGCUCAAUUUUCAUGCAGCGCAAUCAAGUUCCAGAACUUGGGUUCAAUUUUCGAAACCCGAAAGUCCAUAGCUCAAAAAACACAAUUUCUAAAAAUUCUCACUUUCGCUCCUUGAAGCUCUGAUCCACUUCUAAUCAUUCUAAAAUCUUCAAAUCUCAUUUUUAAGCAUAUUUAAAUUAUUUCUCAAUUGUAUUUUGUCCAAUUGGUAUAAGUUUAGUAUAAUGCUUCAAAACUCGAUACCUUACAGCAGGCGAGGGUGAGGGUGCGCGAGAUAGAGGUAAGGCGGGCCGCCUCCGCCUCCGCCUCCGCCUCCGCCUCCGCCGCCCUCUUGGGAGAGAAAGAAAAAAAAAAGAACGAGAGAAAAAAAAAAAAAAGAGGAAAAAGAAAAGGGAAUAAGGAUAUUUUGGUCAGUUUUCUGAAAAUCCGGCCCAAAUCUACAAAAUCCAAAAAGGCGGCCUACUUUUGCAAAAGCUCAAAACUAAUAGAUUUUUUAUGCAAAUUGGCCUUUUUCUAUUAUUAUAUAAGUAAUUAUUUCGCCGGGAAGUAAUAAAUUGGAUGCUGAUUGAAAUUUUUUUCUUUCGAAGUGAAAUGCUUGUAGGAUCAAAAUUUUAUACAAUGUUGUUUACUCAUUCUACAAUUGGAUUAUAUAUAGAGAGAGAGUAGGGCUACUAUACUUUUAUGAGUAUAGAGCCCUUCGUACUCAUAAGUUGUUUUCGAUGAUGUAGCUUCCGAAUCGACGAUCCACCUCAUUAAAUAUGAUUUAGAGUAUUUGAACCUUCUAAAAAAUAAAUUUUGUAAUUUUUCGAAAUCAUAAUAAAGUCCAUCAAACGGGUAUAAAAUGAAUGGUCAAAAUCGAACGACGUCCUAAAAAUGGAUUGUCGGAUCCUUCAAUUUAAGAUCAGAGUUAUUGAUCUCUAUCUAAAUAUUGAAUAGAAUUUUCUAUCAAAAGUUCGACCGAUUUUGAUUCUUUUAUACCACUAAACUAGCAUGUAUUCCAUACCGGCUGUUAAAAAUUAUCAAUUUUGAAAUCUUUUGAUCGUAUGGUAAAUGAUUUCAAAAAAUUAUAAAAUUUGAUUUCUAGAAGUUUUAAAUGCUCUAAAUAACGAUUAACGGUAUGGAUCGUCGACUCAGAAACUUUAUCAUUGAAAACGACUUAUAGUAUGAAGGCGAUCAUACUCAUAAGAGUAUAAUAGCCGGUAUAUAUAUAUAUAUAUAUAUAUAUAUAUAUAUAUAUAUAGGCUAGAAUACUAUUAAUAGCACCAAUGACUUGGUGCUAUUAAGUUUUCUACCCUUGAAUUAAAAGAUGUGCUGUUAGGAUGAUGUGGGCCCCUUAGGGUUUAGUGGGCGGUUAGUUGAAUAGUAUAAUCGAACGGAUGAAAAUGAUAAAAGAGGUAAAUCUAACAGCAGAAAACUUGAUAGUACCAAAUGCUUCGUGCUAUCGAUAGCAUCCCAGCCGGACUAUAUAUAUAUAUAUAUAUAUAUAGAGAGAGAGAGAGAGAGAGAGAGAGAGAGAGAGAGAGAGAGAGAGAGAGAGUUGAGCGAAUGCUAUCGGUAGCAAACGGGCUUUGUUGCCACCCAUUUGUUUUCGAUGAUGGAACCUUCAAAUCGACGAUCAAUACCAUUAAACAUAAUCUAUACCACUUGAAGUAUUUAGAAAUCAAAUUUCAAAUCAUUUUGACAUCAUUGACCUAAUGAUCAAAUGGUUUCAAAAUUUAUAAUUUUAACAGUCGAUAUAAGGCGUUUUCUAGUUUAAUAGUGUAAAGAUAUCCAAAUCAAUUGAAUUUUGAUUAGAAAAUUUUUUAAACUAUUUAGAGCAAUAUCUAUACUCUCGAUCUUGGUUACAAGACUCAUAUCAUCACUUUUUAGAGGAUUUCACUUUCAGCCGGUUAUUUUUGUGUCCACUUGAUGGACAAGAGAACAAUAUAUAUAGAAAAAGCAUGAAAUUUAGUUUCUACAUGCUUCAAGUGGUAUAGAUCAUGUUCAACGGUGCCAAUCGUCGAUUUGGAGGCUCUAUCAUCAAAAACAAAUCGAUGGCAUCGGAGCCCGUUUGCUAUCGAUAGCAUUCCAGCUCAACUCUCUCUCCCUCUAUAUAUAUAGAAUUGGGUUGGAAUACUAUAAAAUAGUAUUUGGACUUUUUUGUUAUCGAGUUUUUAAUCCUUGGAUUAAAAAUUAUAAAAUUAAAGAAUCCAAUUCUCUAUUUUUAGGAUGUCGUUUAAUUUUAACUGUUCAUUUUUACCCGUUUGAUGGACAUUAUUAUUAUUUCAAAAAAUUACGAAAUUUAUUUUUUAGAAGUUUCAAAUGCUCUAAAUUAUAUUUAAUGGUGUGGAUCGUCGAUUCGAAAGUUCCAUCAUUGAGAACAACUUAUGAGGUUAAAAAAUUCUAUAUUCAUAAGAGUAUAGUAGCUCUACUCUCUCUCCUUUUUCUCUCUCUAUAUAUAUAGAGAGAAUUAAGCUUCUAUACUUUUAAAAGUAUAAGUUAUUACUGCUUAUAGGUUUUUGGACCUUGAAUUAAGGGAUGUGUGGUUAGGAUGAUAGUGAUUUUCUAGGAUUGAGUGGAUAGUUGAUUGAAUAGUAUGAUCUAAUAGGUGAAAAUGGUUAAAAGUGUAGAUCUAAAUGCAGAAAACUUACAAGCACCAAGUGCUUAGUGCUUUUACAAGCAACAUAACUGUACUAUAUAUAUAUAUAUAUAUAUAAUAUAUAUAUAUAUACACACACCACACUUAAACUUGUGCAGACCCCUCUACAUGGCCCUUCAACUUGAGUAAUUAACUUUUUUUAUUUAACUGACGUGCACACCUCAACUUGUAAUUAUUUCAAUGUUAGCCAGUUUUUUAAAUUAAAUUAGAGAUUUUAUAAAAAAAACAACAUACAUAUACCCUUCAACUUGAUUAAUUAACUUUUUUUUCUUUAACUGACGUGCACACCUCAACUUUUAUUUCGAUUUGAGCCAGUUUUUUAAAAUUAAAUUAGAGAUUCUAUAAACAACGCUUCAAUUGUACCUUUGAGAAUUUAAAAACCUCACAAUUCCAUAAAUUUAAAAAACAAUGCAACUAGAGUUUUUAAGAUUGCUAAUAUGAUUAAAUGAUUUUUGGAAAAUACGUAGCUUUCGAAAAAUGGAAUUUAUCAUACACAUAAAUAUACAUACAGCUUGAGUUUUUACUUAUUUUUAAAUAAGUGCUAUUAAACUAUUGAUGUGUUUAAAUGUACAUUUAACUUUUAGGCCUCAUCUAAACUUAGAAGCAUCUUGUUUCAAUUAAUCAUGCAAUAUCCUUUGGAUAUCUAUUAUCUAAUCAGGAUACUAUUGUGGAAGCAUAACUUCACAAUUCUGAUCUGGUGUUUGUAAGGCUGCCCGGCUACUGGCAAUUUCAAUCUGCACCAAAGCUGGCAAGGUGAGAGAGUGCUGUUUUAUGGCCACCUAGAUGGCAAUGACAAAAUUUUAUAGAACUCAUUCCAGUCAUUAUUCAGCUAAUGCCAAGAUAAACUUGCUCCCAUUGCAACGAUUGUGCGCAAUGAUAUCAUUCAACUUCAGUUCGUGACCUAUCUGAUCAUGAAGAUUAUUCUGAACUGCAGCAGCUUUCAUUUGAACUUCGCAAUUUCAAGUUAAAUGAAGAAUCCGAUCGUAUCCAGUGGCGAUGGAGUGCAAAUAGAGAAUUUACUGUUGCAUUGAACGUACUUGCGAUGGGCUAUCUAUAACUCUUUGGGUAGUUAAAACGAUACCUAAAGUAAAAUGAUUCAUAUGGCUCACCUGUCAAAUAAAUUACUUACGAUUGAUAACCUAUCCAUGAGGGCUAUACUGGGACCAAGCACUUGCCUUCUUUGCAGGGUAACACCUGAAGACUGAAACAGCCGCUCUGCUAAUUUUAUGCGCUUUCUUUUCUCAUCUUUGGGAUCCUAUUCUACCAUUGGUUAACAUUCUUUCUCGUAAGUACCACUCCCUCCGCAAUACAUAUAUUUUCCGACGUGCAAGUGUUGUAAGACAAUAGACACGAUAAAUCAUUCACCGUGCUUAGACACGAUAAAUGAAUUACUAUGUUUAACUUAAUCCAGCACCUCCACCCUCCCUCGCGUGGCGCUUACAUGGCGCCUGCGUGGCGAGAAUAGAACCAAAAUUACAAUUAUAAAUUUGGUAAAAUUAUUUAUAAAAAUAUUUUUUUUGAAGGAACCAAAUGCAAAAAAAAACCCAUAUAUAAAUGAAAAGGCGUAGGCUAGGUUUACAAGGACUACUUUGUUAGCUUGCGCUGAAGUACCAAAAAGUCAAGCAUCAAGAAUAGACAGAAAAAGUGCAAAUAGCCCAAAAAAGAGUUAACAUGGAUGUGUUGCAACAGGAAGCCAAAAAUUCCUGACACAACUUUGCGUGCAUGUACAUUUUUACAAUUAAGUUAAAACUGCAAACUAGAAAUCGAAAUAGUAAGUCAGAUAAGAAAAAACGAGAAGAGGAAGAAGCAGACGCGGCAAAAACAAAGAUACUCUUUUUCUGCUUUAAGCUGAGGUUAGUGAGUUCUUCGGCUCAUCUGCCAUGCCAAGUGGUCAACUGCAACCAUUGCUUGUGGAGCCGAACCAAGAGAGCCUUCAUACCUGCAUAUUGGUUCAUCGUUAAGUCCACAUGGUAAGAAAUCUCUAUUUUGCUGUCUGAAUCAGAUAAUACAAAAAAACUUGUCUUCACGGAAUCAAGAAGAUAUUAAAAGCAAAUUAUCUUGCCAGAAGUCUUACAUUGCAACUAACAAGAAUGAGCCAGUCUGCAUGACAAUGACUCCUUCCCCACCAGGCUUUGAUGUAUUGACACAACGAGCGCAGAACCAGUGCUCAUGUAUAGAGGUGACCAGAUCUAUUAAAUGCUAAAAUAAAUAAUCAUGAAAAUGACAACAGACUACCAAACAAUAAGAUGAGUAACAACAAACAACAGUGGCAACAUGAGAGCUAAUAAAAAUCAGAGUACUCACACUGGUUUUGGCCAAGAGAAAAGAACUCCAUUUGCCAAUUUUUUCGUUUGACAAAGUCUAGGAACGGUAGCAAGUCAACAGCUUUGAGUUUUAUCCCCUCCUGCUCUGCUCUGGUAGCAGCAAUUAACAUUUCGCAUUAAUAACAAAACAUAUAUUCACAUUAUGAAAAUGAACAGAAAAAUUGUGCCCAUAUCUCUAAGCAUGCAAAAUAAACAGUUGGGACAUUUGCACAUCUGAAUGAUCACCAAUCUAGUUAAAUUUUCAGGGAGAAAUGAAAUGAACCUCUGUGGCCCUGCCAGAUUCCACUUUUAUCACUCUAUGGUUCGAAAUGAAGUAUGUUGUGUUAGGAUUGUGUUGAUUUGUACUUUUACAAAAUCAAGUUAAUAAUAUACUUAUAAAAAAUGCAGUACAUUUUCGUCAAGCAUACGACAUACAACACACUAUGCAAUUGUACCGCCUUGACUUGGUUCACAUCACCAAAUAUAUGAAUCUUAAUAGGAGUUCAAUUAGGAUUAAGAAGCAUAUAUACAUGGGUUAUGGUAUAGCUUAAGAGUGUGCAGCAAAGUGUGGCAAUAUGUCCUAGCGUUGAGUUCUCCGGUUGAAGCACUAUGAAGAAAGAAGAGGAGAGAGUGGGAGAGAUUUAAAAAGAGGGCACGGGAUUGAAGCUACUCGAAUGGAGAAGAGAAGUUGGCUGCAUUCUUCUCUUGGCUAGUGAUCGUUGUUUUCAUGUUCAGUUUUCUUUUAUUAUGGAUUUCCAGUUUUCUUUUAUUAUGGAUUUCCAAGCUUUUUGCUACAGAAGGGUUUAUGGUAAAAAUUGGAUUGGCAUUUCUGCUGCAAAUCCCCAGUAUGAUGUUCCCCAGUGGUUGUUGUUCCUAUUUUCUUCAAGGGCAGACUAUCAAAGUGCCUUUAGAAAAGGUGGAAAAGUGUAAUUGUUUCGAACCACUAGUCAGUAUAGUGAACUCUGGUUAUACCUGGAGAUCCUCAAAGUAUUGUAAUUAUUUGCAAUGCUUCAACAACACAAGUGAUUGGGUUCUACAGUGAAUGAACUUAAAUAAAACAACUUAAUGCAAUAAAGGAAUCCACAACAAGACCUUGACCAGAAUGGAAAUGUUUUUAGCUACACCAUGUAUCACAAAGUGAUCGACCAAACUGUUACUAAUAGCAAAUAGGAGUUGUGCAAAUUUGCAUCCAUGUUUUCUUGAAAUUAUGAAAACUUGCAUUUAUGUUUAAGAAGGAAAGUUGGCAAAGGAGCUUAUGUCAAUCAUGUUUAAAGAACAAUACUGGCGAAAACUAUCAUACCUUUAAGCAACUACAAUUUAUAGGAAAAGAAACUUAGAAGUACAUGAAAAAAACCCUAUCUUGAUUCCAGACAGUAACACAUAAUGAGGGGGCAUUUACACAUUUGAUAUAGUUGCUUAAGAAGAAUCACAUGGGUAAGUAUUAGUAUACAUCCUCAAUCUAGAAUGCCACAUGAUUAGCCAAUGUGGUAUUUGUCAUGUACCAUGAAUAUCUAGCAAAAACACAGAACUGAUGCCACAUCCUAGUAAGUUCCCACACCGUACAUAAUUAAAAAGGCCAAUGUAUAAUCCUUAAUGUUUGCUAGUAUGGGCUGAAAGAUGAUUUUACUAUGACAUUUCGAAAUACAGGCCUAACAAUAGCUUAGUUAGACGCCGUGAUGUCAUCUUAGUUUCUCUCACAAAUUUUAGUGGGUAUUCAUAGGGAGGCAUGAUUGCACCAAUACCCUUGCCCUAUUCCAUAUACGAAUUUCUAUAGUUCCAACACAUUUGGUGGCCAUUGGAUAUUUUUCUUAAUAGUUUCACUCUAUUCCCGUCGAACACCACCAUGAGUGACAAUUUAAUAAUGUCACUAAUAUGAUUUGAGGUCAUAUGGUUCCUUUGCAUAUACCGGCCUAAUGUAAGUUGUUUUCAAUGAAAUUCUAAAUAUUUUGAAUUCAACUCGUAGCGGAACACUCAGCAUCCAAAUCUUCCAUUAUUCCUUUCUUUUUUUCUUUUCUUUUUUAUUUGUUCUCAAACCCGAAAACUUUGCCCUCAUAAUGCCCUUUCAAAUGAUAGCAUCUCCUGCCACUUCAUAUGUAUCCCUCUACUUUAACCUAAAGAAGUUCUCUCAUGAUCCCAAAUCAUCUUACAUCUUAAAUACAGUACUUUCUCUCAUAUUAUCUUUUGUACAUUACUUGUUUGUCAAUGUCACAACUGAUACUUUAAUUCGAAUGAAAACCCUGAAUCACUUAGCAAGUUGAGCAGACGGUGCCAAGUAUACUGUUGAAUCACAUCAAUUCAGCUUUCUUGCCUUUCCACUGCACUUAUGAUAUAAUCAUUACAAUUAUCCCUGUACUAACUCUCUCACCUUCCUAGAUAAUCUAAUGUCCCGAACAACAAACGAACUCCAAGUACUAUUGUCUCAGAACCUAUAAUCAAUGCAUCAUAUGAAACAAAAGAUUACUCCAAAAGCUCAGUUAUAGUAGUAUAGAAGAGCGUUUUUGAUGUUUAUAUUCAACACGCUGCAAAACCCCUACUCUGAUACCACGUGAAAUAAUUCGAAAGUGCUUGGAAGCUCCCACCUACUAAUGCUAUAACGUAUUAUAGGGAACACCACUGGAGGAGCAUUUGUCGGAAGCUGUUAAUUACUGGGAUUUGAAACUAAGAAGUAAUUAGGGUUUCUUUGAAAGAGCACUUUGUAGAAGCUCCGGUCAAGCCAAAUGACCAAGAUCUAUGUAAGAGUUCAAGCCUCCCAAGUGAAUUUUCGGAUGGCAGGAAAUGAUUACGGAGUUAAAAAAAAAAAAAAAAAAAAAAAAAAAAAAAAAAAAAAAAAAAANCGGCGCCCGCCCGCCCCCGCUCGCGCAGAACGCGCCGAGAACGUGCGGUGGAGGAAAAGUCGUAGCCCACACGACCGACGGCACAACGCCACCUCCCAGACGGGAUGGCGGACGGGACAGGCAACAGGGCGAGAGAAGGCGGAGAGUACGGGAGAAGGCAGAUGGGAUGUCGGACGGGACAGGCAACAGGGCGAGAGAAGGCGGAGAGCUAUCGGACGGGACAGGCAACGGGGCGAUCGAAGGCGGAGAGGCACCACCACGAAGGCGGAGAGGACGAAAGGACGGCGAGGGGAGCAACGCCGUGUCGUACGGGAGGAUGCGACGGUGUUCCCGAGGGAGGACAGCGUUGGCGUCGCGGCUACGAAAAGAAGGAGGAGAGGACGGAGGGUGAGCGGAGGACGGUAACGCCACGCCAUACGGGAGGGCGGCGGGGCGGGGCGCCGCCGUACGGGAGGACGGAGAGCGCGAAACGCGGGGAGGGCUCGAAACCUAUCGCCCUUUCAUAAGCUUAUAUUGAUUAUAAGAUAAUGAUUAAAUAAAAUAUCACAUAACUUUCAUUUUAAUAAGAUCUCAAUAUUCAGUCCACUAAAUUGGAAUACAUAAUUUGAUUAUAAUAAUUUAAAAUAUUCGUAAUAAAAUUUGGAAUAAAUUAAAAUUUAAAAAACAAAGUGUCACAGGCCUCAUAGGUUGAGGGCCAAAAGCAUAAUUUAUCCUUGUUUUAAUUACCUUUUAAUUAGAUUUAGUUGAACUAAUUUAGUUACAGAUUUUAAUAAUUUUGUUGUAUUGGGAAGUAAGUUCAUUAAUUUUGAUGCCUUUAUAUAUAUUUUGUCAAAUAAAACUAAGUCUCUUUAUAUACUAUACCAUUCGAAGUGUUUACUCGAGCACUACUUUAUUCCAUAAAAAACAUCUCGGCAUCAGGAUCUUGGGUGAAUGCGUGUGUCAUUAAUCUUCCUCUAGGAUUUUUAUUUUUAACUAGGAUUUUUAUUUUUAGGCUAACACAUGAUUAAUUAGGGUAUAAAAAAUAUAUAAAUUUUUUCCUAACAUUUUCAAAUCAGAUCUAGAAAAAGGGAGAUGAAAAAAAAAACGAGAUCCAAAACUAAAUUAAUAAGAAUCAAAAAUACCAAAGUGCCUGCUAAGCAUGUUCCGUAGAAAGAUUGCAACUAAAUGAAACAAGACAUGGCUUCAGAUCUGACGAAGUUUGCAACAGAUCUGUAAUCAAUAUGUGAAAAAGAGGCAUAAACACUCCUUAAAUCGACGAAAAAUUGAAAAAAAAAAAAAAAAAAAAAAAAAAAAAAAAUCCAAAUCGGAUCUAACUUCAAUUCGAAAACAAGGGUUUUAGCAAGAGAGAAGAAGUGAUUAAAUAUGUAUGCGAAAAUGAUGAAUGGAGGGAAGGAGAUUGCGAAGAUUACCUGCAAGGACGAAGCAGUAGAAAAGGAUUGGUGUUCGUGCGCGCGCGUGCGAGAGAGAGAGAGAGAGGGGGAAACAAUUUUUUUUUUUAAGAUUGGUAGCACGUUACCUGUUUUUUACUUAGAAAUAAAUUUAGCUAAAAAUGUAAAUCAAUUAGGAUUCGAAUUCGAGACCUCGGGUACCAACCACUAAACCCUUUGCCACUUGUACUAGGGACGGUAGGUGGGAAACAAUGUUGUUAAUAGGGUUUCGAGGCAUUGGAGGCUAAAAUUGUUAUUUUACAUAUAAUAAUAUACAAUAUUACUCUUUUCAGUAAUCCAAGAUACAUAAUUUUUCGAUAUAAUCUUGCACAUUUUAAACCAAAUUUAGUAAUUCUGACAUAAUUACUUAUAAUUCUGCCAAGAUAAUCCGAACCAAAUGCACCCUAAGGUGGGGUUAACAAACCCCACCCCUCCCAUGAAACUGAGAUGGGAUUAACUGUGAGACCCUAGAUAGUCCUAUAUAUGAGAUAUAAUAGGGCUAAACUCUUAACCCGGCUUAAGCAUUUUGGGUGGUGGCAAGGCCCAAGAGGUUAAGAGAGUUAAGCGUGCUAGGACGGGAGUAGUCCUAGGAUGGGUGACCCCCUGUAAGUUGGGCGUCACAUUAACUAAUCCCACCAAAAUUUAAAUUUUAAAUUUAUAUUUUAAAUUUUAAAUUUUUUUUAAAUUUAAAAAUUUGUAAUCUUAAAAUUAAAUUUAUAAUUAUAAAUUAUAAAUUAUAAAUCUUAAAUUAGUAUUUUUAAUUUUUUAAAUUUAAAAUUUGAUAUUUGAUAUUUUUAAAUUUAAAUUUAAUUUUAAAUUUUAAAUUUAGAACUUUAAAUUUUUGAAUUUGAAGUUUACAAAUUUAAAUUUUAUUUUGAAUUUUUAAUUUUUAAAGAUAUAUAUUUAAAUUUUAAAUAUAAAAUUUUAAAUUUUAAAUUCAAAUAUAAUAAGCAAUAUUAUUAUUUUCUAUUUAUAACUACUUAAUAUUCUUCUUAUUCCAUCUCAUCUAUUCAAAUGCUAUUUUUUUAUAUUUAUCUUUUUAUUUAAUAAUAAAAUUACAAAAUAAAAUAGAUAUAAAGUUACGAAUCAUAUUGUUUCAUGGCUAAUUUGCAUAAAAAAUCCACUUAUUUUGGGCUUUUGCAAAAUCGGGUCACCUUUUUCAUUUUUGCAGAUUCGGUCCGCUUUUUCAGCAAACUGACCAAAAUACCCUUAUUACUUUUUCUCUUUCCUCUUUCUCUCUCCUCUUCGUUUUCUCGUUCUUUUUUUUUUCCGCCGGAAAAAAAAAGCAAAGGCCAAGCGGAGCAAUUUUUUCUUCUCUUUUUUUUUUCUUCUUCUUCUUCCUCCUGCUGAAGUACCUUUUUUUUUUCCCUCUUCUUUUCUUCUUCUUCUUCUUCUUCUUCUUCCCUCCUCGUGACCGGCUGUUCGAGUCCUGGCUCCACCCGGCCCAGUACCGCACUCGCCUCUGCAAGGACGAGAUCGGCUGCGCCCGCCGCGUCUGCUUCUUCGCCCACAAGCCCGACGAGCUCCACGCCGUCAACCCUUCCCUCGCCUCCGUCUCCGCCGGCCUCGCCCUCCCCUCCCCUCGCCUCCACGACGCCGCCGCCGCCGCCGCCCUCAUCCUCUUCCAGCCAGCAGUAGCAGAAACCCUGCCGCGCCGUCGCGUCGUCAUCCCCCUCUCGUGCCUGCGCCUGGCGCGAGCCCCACCCGCGGCGCUCCGCCCUCCCCCGCGUGCACCGUUAAUGAUGCUAAUUACAACCAUUACACAUUAAUGGCUGCUAAUGGUGUAAUUUCACCAUUAAAUGGUUGUAAUGGUGCACCAUACACAUUAAACGGUUUAAUUACACCAUUAAUGGUGAAAUUACACCAUAAUGUGAAAUUACGACCAUUACACCGAUUAAUGGUGUAAUGGUGUAAUUACACGUUAUAUGGUGUAAUGGUGACCAUUACACCAUUAUGAAGAACGCCCGGCCAGCCGCGACAGCGAGCCCGCGCGAGGCCGCCGGUCGACGUGCGCCUCCUCGUGGCCAACCGGGACGGAGAGCGAGGCGUUGCGGUGCACCGCCCGCCAACCUCUAAGCCUCGGCGACCCAGACCUCCCCGUGCCUCCGCUCGACCCCGACGCCCGCCAGGCCGCCGCGCACCGGCCCGUGCGGCCGCGCGCCCCGAGCUCCGGGCAAGCCUCUGGCCGUCGGGCUCGGGCGCCAUCGCCGCUGGCAGAGCUUCGCCGCCGCGCAUCUGCCGCCGUUCGACGCGCCCCGCCACCCCCCGCCCGCGGCCUCGUUCGCCUGCGCCGCCCCCCCCGCCGCCCGCGCCCUCGAGAUCCGCCGGGCUACGGAAUCGACACCGCGGCAUCCUCGCCUUCUUCUCCCUCCCAAAACCCCUAAGCGUCUCCUCCCCCGGCCCCCGCACGGCCGCUGGGUGGCCUCUCCGGCGCCGCCACCUCGCCUCCCCACCUCGCCGCCGGGGGCGGCGGCGUCGCGACCGGGAUGCGCGAUGCUGCGGACAACCCGCGCACGCGUGCGGUACGGCCCCGACGCGGACCGUGGCGGUGAGCGAGGGAGGCGUCUCCUUCGCCCCGCUGUACUGUUUACUGCUUUGCUUCGGCCUUCUGCUUACUGGGAGAAGUCGAGGACAUGGUCGGAAGGGAAGAGGAUUCUGGAGAAACGAGGACAUUGGUCGGAGGGGAGGAGGCAGGGGCCUAUCAUCCAGGCAGAGCGGUAGCGCAUCUUCACUGCCGGCGGCGCCACCGCCGGCGCGGCGAGCCAUGCUUACACUCAGGCGGCGCCGGAGCUCCACCCGCGGCUCCCUCCGCGGGACACGUGCACCUAUAACGGUGUAAUUCACCAUACACCAAUUAAUUACCCACCUUACACCGAUUAAUGGUGUAAUGGAAUUACACCAUUAACGGUGUAAGGUUAACCAUUAAUGUGUUAAUUUCACCCAAUUAAUGGUGUAUGGUACAUCAUAUAAUAUGAUGCUAAAUGGUGCACCAUUACACUCAAUAUAAUGCGAUAUAAUUUACACCAUUAACACCAUUAGACGCAAUAGAAGAAGCCAGCCCCAGCACGCCCGCGUGCCCUCCCGCCGCCGCUUGCGCACCCGCCCGCUGAACCAAUUUACACCAUUACAAAGAGAAGCCGCCGGGCCGUCCGGAGAUCGCGACGGCGGCCGACGCCGCCCGAGCGGAGCGCCGCGCGGCCCGCGUGACCGCCGCCCUCGACCAGCGCGACGUCCCCGGCUGCAACACCCCGCUCCACCUCGCCGCCCGUCGCCCGCCUCCCGCGCGCCCCCACCCUCGCCGCGGCGCUCGCGGUCGCUGGUGCCGACCCCUCCCUGCAGAACGCAGCCGGGUGGACGCUGCUUGGCGAGGCCGGAAGUCGCCGUGGCGCGCCCCGUGCUCUUACAGGAAAAAGAAGAAGAAGAAGAAGAAGAAGAAGAGGGAAAAAAAAAAGGUGCUCCAGCAGGAGAAAGAAGAAGAACAAAAAGAAAAAGAGAAGAAAAAAUUGCUCCGCCUGGCUUCGCUUUUUUUUUCAGGCGGAAAAAAAAAAUGAGAGAACGAAGAGGAGAGAGAAAGAAGAAAGAGAAAAAGUAAUAAGGGUAUUUUGGUCAGUUUGCUGAAAAAGCGGACCGAAUCUGCAAAAACAAAAAAGGUGGCCCAAUUUUGCAAAAGUCCAAAAUAAGUGGAUUUUUUAUGCAAAUUGGCCUUGUUUCAUUGAUGUUACUAUAUAUAUAUAAAAAGAAAUAUUGACUCUAGAAAUAUUGAUUCUGAAAAAUAAUUCAAAUAACUGACUAUCUCUAGAAGUAAGUGGCAAAGAGUUUGGUGGUUGGUAUCCGAGGUCUUAAGUUGGAAUCCUAGUUGAUUCACAUUUCUAGCUAAGUUUAUUUCUAAAUGAAAUAAACAAAACAGGUAGCGUGCUACCUAUCUUUCAGAAAAAAAAAAGGGGAAAACUUUAAAAACCACCCCUGUGGUUUCGUAGUUUCUCACUUUGCCCCCCUGUGGUUUAAAAUGUAUCAAAUUGCCCCCCUGUAGUUUUAUUUUUAUCUUUUGGGUAGCUUUUUCGUUAAUAUUUCAUUAAAUUAUAUACAAAAAACUUCAGAUACCCAUCUAGAUUUAUCAAAAUAUUCACUUUAGUACCCUUUAAUUUUAAUUUUAUCAUUGAUUUAAGAAAAAAAAUAAUAAAAUUGAUAAGAAAAAGAGAAAAACGAAACCACAGAGGGGCAAAUUGAUACAUUUUAAACCACAGGGGGGCAAAGUGAGAAACGACGAAACCACAGGGGGUUUUUUUGAAGUUUACCCAAAAAAAAAAAAAAAAAUCAAAUAUUACCUUCCUGCUGCAUUGCUUGAGCCUCUUAGCUAGUUAACAACUAAACAAAAGAUAUAUCCCAAAUUAGUUAUGUUGUGCAGUCUAAGAUAGAGCAAAGUUAAAUAUGAUACAAUAUAAUAAUUUUAUAUUAAAAAAAUAUUUGAACAAUUUUUUUAAUACCUGUGUCUAACAUAAAAUUACUAAUUAAAUAUUGCUAUUUCUGUAUAGAAUAAUUAUUAUAUAGAAAAAUUUCUUAUACACCGUAUAUAGAAUAAUUGUUGUAAGAUAGAGCAUGCGUUUAUUUGCAAACUCUCAUAGGAACACCAUAUUACCUUUCCUUGCAGACAAAGAAGACAACAGAAGAUAACACAACUUCUUCUAAUCAACUGCUUGGAAUUAGAGAUGUCCAAAAUACGUGAUAUCUUGUAUCCAAUCUGAACCAUAUCUGAAUCUAAUCCGGACCCAGGUAUAUGAGUAAGAAAAAUUAUUCAUUGAAGUUUCGAAUAUGGGUUCGAAUACUCAUACCCUACUCGGACCCGAGUCAGAUCUAAUCCUUUGGUGGAUAUGGUCUAGAAUAGUUUUCAUUUCUGGAUCCGGACUUGGACCCAGAGCUGGAUCCAUUAAAAUGCCCGACCGUCAAAAAAAGUAAAGAGAAAAAAAAAAAAAAAAAGAAAAAGAAAACUUGGUAAUUUUCUCACUACAAUAUUUCAAACCUAUUAUGUAUGUGUUUUAAAGAUAUUGUAGUAUGUGCAUGUAUUUUAAAGAUAUUGUAGUAUGUACAUAUGUUUUGGACUUAUGGUAUAUGUUAUGUGACUAGUUAUAUAUAUUUACGCAAUUAUAUUAUGUAUGUUUAGACUUAUCAAUAUAAUUUUAAUUAUUACGUUGUUGUUGUUGUUGUUAAGUGUUCAGGUGGUGGUUUUAUGUAUUUUAGAGUAAUCAAUACAUAUAUAACUAUUGCAAAUUUUGUAUUUUGUGUUAAGCUUAUCAUGUAUAGAUAUAUAUUUUAUGCCAUAAAUACACAUAUGGGGUGCCUGUACCCAAUUUAGAUCCGCCCAUACCCCAAUAGUAAACGGGUAGUAUACGAAUAAUCUUUAUCUAGACCCAUUCAAAUAGAUCUGAUAAGUACAUUAGUAAUUUAAAUAUCUAAAUCUGUACCCACACCAAAGUUGAACGAGUAAAAUAAUUUUUUUUAUUUCUUAUCCAUUUUAUUAUUUAGAGUAUGUGUAUGAUAUAUAAACUAUUCAGAUCCGGCCAGAUCAACGGAUAUCUAUUCUCAGAAUCAUAAAUCACCGUAUAAGGAGUAAGACAAUAAACAGAGCAAAGAUAGAUUAAAGCAGCUUGUACGUUUGCAAAAGCAACGUACGGAGUGGUUAUUUGAUCAACAAAGCAUGCAAAACAGAGGUGAGACAUUCUAGUUGUACACCCAUCCUAAAAUUCACAAAAAUUUAAAUAAUUUUUAAUAAAAAUAAAAAAUUAAUGUGACAAAUAAAAAAUUAAUAAUUCUUACAUAAGUAGAUAUUAGAUAUAUACAUAGCAUUGGCAGAGUCCCCAAACGUUUGGAAAUAGAGCUUCCCAUAUAUGGUUGCACAAGGAGAACAACGUGCUUUGGACCUAAUUAUUGGCAUGUGAACACCCAAAUCAGGUACAAGUGAGAAGAAAGGCAAGCAACAAUACUAUUAGCCGUACACUCUCUACUCUAGGAAAAAUUUAGAAUGCAACAGAUAUAUUAAUGCAACUGAUAUAUUAAUGACGUGACAUAACAAGCCAAUCAAAUAUAUUUUUUAAAAAUAUGUCCCAUCCUGAUUAUAAAAAAUAUUUUUAUUGUGUGAUAGUAUAGAAUUCUUCCUGUUCUACAAAAUGUCUACUAUAUCUCACUUACACUAUAUCAUUAAUAAUUAAUUAAGUAUAUCUUUUAAAAAAUAUACUUUUAAUAAUCACGAUGAAAUUGAUGAAUUUAAUGAAAAAAUAAUUUUUUUGAUUGGUUUAUAACGGAUGCAUCUUUGACUUUUUCCCUAUUCUCUCUAGAGUGGGGGAAUAUAAAUUGAGAGAAAACAAAUGAAAACAAGGAGAGCAACAGAGAGAGAGAGAGAGAAUCAACCAGACGAAACCGCGCCUAUAUUAUAUUACUAAUAAAGUUAGGUACUUCCCUUCCAAAGUAUAUAGCUAAUUUCCUUCAUGCACGUGAAACAAGAGAACAUAGGUGGGUUAAUUCAGGUCCAUACCUAUAUUCCAAACUCAAACUAGUAUGUCUACACAAAAACAUCACUAGAUUCAGUUAGAUUUUUAUGGCUUCCACUAUUGUUUUCACAAAAGCCAAAACCCACAUAUCUACCACCACAAAAACUCAAGAAAAUUAGCUAGAAAUACUUAAAUAGCUCGCCACCUUCGUCUUUUGCGUUGCCACAACCUUGCUUAAAAGAGAAGCAGAUCCUGCUCCUGCUCAUUCUUCAACUAAGUUCACCAACUCAUACUCCACUAGGGACAAAUUGUUGUCCUCCCUCACAUCAAAGUUAGCGGGUUCAGCGACCUCCACCCGACCCCACUUGUCGACUGCCAGUCUCAUUGACCCCUUGAACAUAUCGAUUUUGGCAUUGCGAAGAAUUACCGUACUGCCCGGCUUCAACAGGUCAACUGCCAGAAGACGAGCACAAUAUUUUAAUAACAGCUAGUAUGCAUCAAGAUAUGAUCUAUAAAACAAGGAGAUAACAAACACUGCAUCCCAGAUUCUUUUGACCGGCUAUGUUGCAUAGACACAGAAAUAUACGAGAUAGCGAUACACGACGACAUGGAUAAGGCUAUAUGACAGACUCUCAAAAGGUAGGAAAUUAUAUACAUUGCAUACGGUACUUAAAAAAUUAUUUAAUUUUAGAUUCAUAUUCAUAUAUAAAUGGCAUAAAAUAUCACAUAGAUGUAAGAGAGAUACAAAGCAAUAACUCAACAGCCCAAGAAGAUUCUACUAACAUUUAAACUAAUUUGUUUAAAGGGACUAAUGGAAUGAGUCACCAUGUACCCCCCUCCCCCCCUUGUAACAAACCCCUUCCCCCCCAACCUGUAUCCGGCAAGUUUUUUUUCAUUUUCUGGAGAUGCAAAUAUUUCAUGGUCACAUCUGAUACAUAUAGUUUGUGUAUGCAUCGAAUAUCUGUGUACGAUAUGCAAUAGGUACUAUCAUGACAUGCAAAAUGAAUUACCUGUCCAUCCUAGUUGACCUAUUCGAGGAAAAGAAGGCAAAAAUAUCAACACAAUGCCAACAACACUUGGAAGUCAACUGGAACCAUGUAAAAGAUGGUCAAAAAUAACAAGUAUGCAGGCUCUAGAGAGUUUUUUAAGCAGUAUAAAAAACAAGUAAUGUGGAUGCAUAGGAGAGCAAUAUUCUAUCCCUUCUCCAUCUACAUGAAUCUGAGGAUUAAACAUUUAAGCACAAUCAAGCUCUCACGAACAUAAUAGGUCAACUUACUUUGUUUGAUACAAUAUGUCAAAAAGGACCUCCACAAGGCAAAUAUGCCCAGCUAAUUGCACAACCUUUAAAAAUCUGAUUUUACUAGUCAUCAUAUUUUUUUUCUAACUUGUGUUGAGCUCACAUCAUCUCCAUAGAUUCCUGCCCCCACACCUCAACAUAAAGAUAACUGACUUCUUCAGGGAACCUAACCGCCUGCCAUCAAGUAUUUCACUACCAUUCCUCUCAUAAAAGUCAGGCUUCUAUAUGACAUUUUCACCAAAGAUCUGCCAAACCAAAAAAAUUUGUACAAACUACAAAGAGUAGCUUUGCUUUCUCCUCUUUGACAUGUCUUAAUUGUUCGCAGUUUUCUAUAAACUUUGGCAAAUAUGAUAUCGCUUCCUGAAUAAUUACCUGCACUAUCAAAUGUAUAAGUAAAUAGCUCAUUAUUUUUUUUGCAUCUUUCUAUACCCCUCUUUGAGUUUGAAUCUAUGUGAGUAGGCGCACAUCUUUGAUGCACGCCCUCUAAUUCAAGUUUCAAAAUUUUGUUCGAAGUAGUACCUUUUUUUCCAUUUUGCUUCUACAAAAUUACAAUUGCUUUUGUGUAUCGAAUAACAAUGUCGGUCUACAAAAUUUAAACUGAUGCUUUCUUUGGCCUCACUUCUCUAUUGCUAUCAAUCCGAAUGACUAUUAAGACACACUCAAAAUGAGAAGUUAAUAUAAUAGGUUAGGUAACACCAACAGGUUCAGAUACCUAAGGGUUCAUCACACUUAUUGAUAAGUUGAUAAAGUAAAAAACAGUGGAAUUAAAGCAUAUUCAGACUUAAAUUGCAAGCCAAACAAUACUAUCUUCUUUCUCUAUUAACCCGACAACUAUAAAAUCACAACUUGAUGCAUAAACAACAGCAGGAAGAGCAAGCUCAAUUAAAAGAAUAGCUACAGCGCUGGCUCAUGCAUCAUGCAAGUCAUCCAAGUGAAUAAUUGUAAACUGCGGAUAAUGAUAAACUUUACACAUCCUUGCUACCAAGGACUAGUUUGUGAAUGCGUUCUCAAAAGGCAACCAUUUAAUUUUCUAAGGGACCAAAAGCAUUUCGAACCUUACCUUUUUCAAUGAAUUAAAAUGGUGGCAGGAAGUGCUUUCUUUGCCUUCAAUGGGUGGUUCACAUUAUCAUUUUAUAGUAUUAGAGAGAUAAGAUCUAAAAUAUUGUCAAAUUUUUUGACCUCUCUAGAGCAUCAAAAUGGUGCUUAUGAGUCAUGCAUUUUCAAACCGGCUGAACAGGUUAUUAGUACCCAAUCGAAGGAUCUCACAUAACCUGCUGUACCCCUAAGCAAAGUAAGACCUAGUUUGGGAUUGCGUUGCCAAUCACACCUGAAUUUAUCCUUUGGGAAGCCCAAAAAGAUUAAAAGUGCUUUAAAGCUUCCUUCUUUCAAUGCUUAGAAAAAUGGUAGUAGGAAUCGCCACUUGGAGAAGCAAAGAGUUUCUGGUUCUCCGGUAACAAUCCCACCAUCAUUUUAUGAUAUAGGAGGAGAAAAGUGUUGAAGGCACUUUUCAUAUUUUUGAGCCCCUCCAAAGAACUAAGCCCUAGUUUGUGAUUGAAUUGCCAAAAGCACCAACUUUCAUGUUAUGGAAGGUCCCAAAAAUUGAAAAAACGCUUUCAAUCUUCCCUCAAUAGUAUAAAAUUGCGGGGAACACCGCCAUUGGAAAAGUAUGUAACUGCUUGCUUCUCUGGUGGCAGUUCCCACUAUAAUUUAGGAUUGUGGUGAAGAUUUAGAGCGCUUUUUAAAUAUUUUGGACCUUUGAAAGCAUAAAAACAGGUGCUUUUAGCAACACAAUCCCAAACUAGGCCUAACCCAAGUGUGUUUACACACCUCUAUACCAAACUAAGCCUAAGCUUCUCUUUCCUAGUUUCCAAAUGUCCGAGACCAACAAUUACCCCGAUCGAUGUUCUACGAUAAUAAAUAUUGAAGAAAAACAAUAGCUUUGGGCCUUGUUUAGAUGUUGGAGUAGUUUAUUCGAUGAUAACUUAUUCGGCAUAGAGAUUUUCCUUUGUAAUUUGAAGAUCUGGAAAGCCUUGGCAUCUAUGAUUUGAUAGAAUAUCAUAUUUCACAUAAAAGGUGAUUUAUUUUUUCUGAAAAAAUGACUAAAAAAGCCAAAUAUUCUAUUCCAUUCUAAACAUUUGAACAUGCUCCUACAUCCAAACAAAGCACAAUUGCAACACCAUAUUUACGAAUCCAAAGCCCUUUGCACCCAAAGAACGCAAAGAAGGUAACGCCAUACAUAGAUUAGGGUUUUACCCUGCUCGUUCCGCGCGGUGAAGACGAUGGUCCCGGUCUCGUCGCCGACGAGGCACUCGGCGAUCCGGGUGCGUCGGAGGUUGGCGGAGGAGGGGGCGGCGCGGCCCUUGUGGAGGACCGUCUCUGAGCUCACCACCUUCACCGUGAGCGUGUGGCCGCUCGUGCCGGGCUUCAGCUGAUCCACCUUCGUGAACACCGGCUUCCUCAUCGCCGGCUUCGCCGGUACUCCUCCAGGACCCUCCGCCGUCGCCAUUGACACCGCUGGAGGGGAAACCCUAACCCUAGAUUGGUAGUCCUGGGGAGAAGCGACGGAGACAAUGAAGAGGAGGUAAAACCCUAACCCUAGAAUUUCGCAGGCCGAGAUGAGAGUUAAAUUACUCUAUAUAGGUAGAAAUGUAUGGACGCCUCCUCAACUAUAGGCCAUAGUGUAAUACAGCUCUCAACUUCUCUCUAUUUUUCCUUUUUUCUUUUUCUUUUUGACAAAUCUACGCUAAUAUUAAAAAGGACCAAACUUUGCACUUUUUUUUACUCUGUUUUCAAUUUUAUUUUAUUUUUUUUUUUGCAUUCAAGUCUGCAAUCUCUUAAUUUUAUUAUAAUUAAAUUACAGUCGUCAGAAUGGGUGUUAAAAUUGACGAAAAAUAUUAUGUUAGCGCCACAGAGGCACUCUGUCAGCACCAGCUAAUUAUACAAUUUCAGUUUAAAUUUUAUAUUAUAAAUUUAAAUUAUAUUUUGAAUAAAAUUAUAAAUUCAAUGCUAAAUUUUUUAUUUAAGAUUUAAAUUUUAAAUUUAAAUUUUGAUAUUAGAUUCAAAUUUAAAUUCGAAUUCAAAUUCUGAUUUUGUAUUUAGUUUUAAAUUAAAAUUCACAAUUUUAAUUUUAAUUACAGUUUGAGACUAGAUUACACCAUUUGAAAGAAAGAAAAAGAAAAAAGAAGAUGAAGUUGCACUGCUCGAGAAUAAAUUGCACUGCUUGAAAUAAAAUUAUAUCAUUUAGAAUAAUUAUCUUAAAUAGUGCAACUUAGUUUCAAACAAAAUUCCAGCAUCUUCCACUUCCUCGCCCGUGCCCACAUAGGGAUGUCGAUGGGUAUGGAUACCUGAAAUUUUAUCCGAACCCGAACACGAAUGAAACGGAUAUAUCCGAUGAAUAUGGAUAUGGAUUCCAAUAUGGAUAUCAAAAAUAGAAACCCGACGGAUAUGGAUUCGGAUAUGAAUUUUGAUUGUACCCGACCUGAACCCGAACCUGAACCUGACCCGAAUCCGAAUUUAUUUUGUAUUAUAUAUAUAUAUAUAUAUAUAUAUUUGAUGUUAUAUUUGAAUUUGUAUUUUAAAAAUUUAAGUUUAAUAUAAUAUAUUUUGAAAUAUUGAAAAAAGAAAUAAUUGUUUCGGGUUCAAAUUUUCGGGUUCGGGUUCGGAUUCGGGUUUCGGAUUUUUUGUCAGAUUCGGGUUUGGAUAUGGAUUUUUAAAAUCCGUCGGGUUCGGGCUCGAAUUCGGGUCUCGGGUUUGGAGUCGGGUUCGGGUUCGGAUUUUUAAAAAUCCGCCCCGAAUCCGACCCGUUGACAUCUCUAUGCCCACAUACUCCCCGAGUUCCAUUCCCUCCACCGCCACCUCCUCCUCCACCCCUCAUCCUCUUCCGCCUCCUCCUCCGCCCCUGCGGCUACCGCCGUCCAUCUAUCUCCCAAUACUAAACUCAUGCUAACCCUAAUUUAAGGGGCAUUGCUAGGUUUGUAAUCCAUUUUUGAUUGUAAUUCUACAACUUGAUAAUCAAGAGGCUAAAUUUACUAUACCAGUCUUAUCAAAAUUUUAUUUUAACUAAAACCAAAAUAGGAUUGGCGAAAUUCUUGAGGCGCUUGGAUAAGGGGUUAUAGGGAUUAUGAUGUCUCUUUGGUUGGAGACUUAGCAUUUCUAAUUCUCAAGUAUAUACACCUUUCGUACUCUCAGGCCUUGUUUGGUUGGGGAAUAAGGGUGAGGAUAAGGGGUUAUCCCCCCCUUGUUCUCCAAACACUACAUUUAAAGAUGGGAAUAGCUUGUUCCCACCCUUGGGUGGAAUAGGGGUGGGAACAAGCUGUUCCCACCCUUUUUGUUAAAAAAAUUUUAAAUUUUUAAAUUUUUAAUUUAAUUUUAAUUUUAAAAAAUUAUGAUUUGUAAUUUUAUAAUUAAAGUUUAUAAUUUUAAACUUCAAAUUUCAAAUUUUAAUUUAAUAUUUAUAUUUUUUAAAUUUAAAUUUUGAUAUUUAUAUUUUAAAAUUUAAAUUUGAUCUUAAAUUAAAGAUUUUAAAUUCAAUUUUUAAUUUUAAAUUUUAAAAUUUAAAAGUUGAGAGUUUAAUUUUAGAUUUUAAAAUUUAAAAGUUAAAAUUUAAAAUUUAAAAAUAAAAAUAAAAUAUUUAAAAAUUUAAAUUCAAAUAUAAUGAGAGAUAAUAUUAUUUUUCUAUCUAUAACUACUCACUAUCCUUCUUAUUCCAUCUUACCUAACCAAACGUUGAUUAACCAAUUUUUAUCCAAACACAAAAUUGAUUUAAUCUCCGCUUAUACCUCAAUUUAUACCUAUUCCUGGAAUAGCCACUUUUUACUUAUCAACGAACCAAACGAUGCCUCAGUAUACACUAAAGUAACCAUUUCGUACACAUAACCUAACAUAAGCUAUAUAUAGGGUUUGCAGACAAGCGAGUCGGUUUGCGUUCGGCUUGCAUUCAACUCAGUAUCCGGCUCACUUGAGGUAGGCUGGUCAAUAAUGAGCCGAGCUUGAACAAAGAAAAAAACUCAAAUUAAUUCAAGUUAGUUUGAGUAUUGUUGGGCUGGCUCGAAUUAGGCUUACAAAGCUCAAAUAUGUGUAUACUAGUGUAGGGCCUGCACUUUGCGACAGAUAGAUAGUAUUUCAGACAAUUUAAAUAUUUUAAUUUAUAUAAAUUUUAACAAAUUUGUUUAAUUAACUAAAACUAAGCAUAAAAAAUUAAAAAUUAUUAAAAUUAGUUAAAAAAUAAUUUGGAUUGCUUUGUCUAUUUCAAAGCGUGUAAUAGUUGAGCGGGUCUGUACACAUUUUUUUUACCAAAAUUUUUUAUGGUGAAAAUGGUUAGAGGCUUCCUAAACUUUUAAUUUUUUAACUAAACAAUUUUAUCAAAAAAUUUAUAAAUUUAUUAAAUUCAUUAGUAGGUUCACCAAAUUUAAUAAUUUAUUUUAAUUUAACUAAAUAUAAAAAGGAAGGAGGAGGAUAGUCAUUUUUUUAUAAUUUAAUUCUUUCUAUUUUCUUGUUCUAUUUUCUCCUUCUCUCUCUUUUCUUUAACUUCUUCCUCAUAGAGUCACAGUAAAAUUUUUCCAUUUUCCCCUUCCCUUUAUUCGACAUAAGAUGAGAUAAGAUGGGACUGCUAGCUUCAACUUUGGCUUUGGCGCAAACAGAGGUUUGGGGGGCAACAACUUGAGGCGCGUUUAGCGGCGAUGGCCAGGGACGCGGCAGGGACGACGUCCUCUUGGCGCGGCAGCAACCCCCACCCCCCGAAAUUCCCCAACCAAACAAGGUUUUAAAGUUUUACAAGAUUAUAUACAAUACAAAUGAUUAAAACAAUUAUAUAAUUAGUAACUUCGAUUGAGGAGAGAGAGAGCUAUUGAACUAUUUAAAAAAUUUAAGGGAUCUAAUUGGUCAAAUUAAAAGUGCCCGUUUGCCAAAGCGAUAAAGUUUCAUAAGCCUUUGUACACUUUUACCGUGAAGUAGUUUUUUUUUAGGAUAUAAUAUAUUAAGGCUGCGUUUGGUUCGGGUAUAAGUGAGAAUUGUUUGUUCUAGGGAUAUGUACAAGUUCAGAUAUAAGUAGGAACUAGACCAAUUUUGCGUUUGGAUGAAAAUUUGAUUGUUCCUAGGAAUAAGAUAGAUAGUAUUUGGAUGGUUAGAUUAGAACAAAAUGAAUAAGAGUUAUAAUUUGAAAUUAAAAUUAUAUUAUCUAAUUAGUUAAUAUCAAAAUAUUACUUAAAAAUAAAUAAUAAAUAAAUUAUUAAUAAUUAAUUAUAAAUUAUUAUUAUUAUUAUUAAUUAUUAAUAAUUAAUUAUAAAUAAUAAAAUAAUAAUAUCGAUUAUCUAAUUAUUAAUAGUCAUAAUUAUUAAUAAUUAUGAUUAAAUAAUAAUUAUUAUUAAAUAAUAAUUAUUAAUAAUAAUUAUUAAUAAAUAAUUAUAAAUAAUAAAUUAAUAAUAAUAUUGAUUAUCUAAUUAUUAAUAAUUAUUAAUUAAUAAUAAUAUCGAUUAUCUAAUUAUUAAUAAUAAUAGUUAUUAAUAAAUAAUUAAUUAUAAAUAAUAAAUUAAUAAUAAUAAUUAUCUAAUUAAUAAUAAUUAAUAAUAAUUAAUAAAUUAUUUAUUUAUUUUAUUAUUUAAGUAAUAAUAAUAAUUUAAAUAUAUUAAUUAGAUUAAUUAAAAAUUUACUGUCAUUAAAAUUAAAUUUAGACUUUAAUUAACCUUGUUCUCAUCCGGAAACAAAUUAACUUGUUCCAGGAAAAAGGGGAACAAGGGCUUAUUCCUCCCCUUGUUCCCGAGCCAAACGCAGCCAAAGGGUUUGUUUCAUUCAUAUUAUUUUUUUACGGUUCCUUAUAAUCCAACAAGUUUAAAGAAAAUAUUAUGGUGUUUGGCUAAUUACAUCAAGUAAUGUUAUUAGUGUUGGGUUCAUUUGGAAAUAAAAUUUAUCCUAUAGUAAUAAUCUUUUUUUUUUAAGAGAGGGUAGGUAUUCUCGUAAUAAUGGAUUGAAAUAAUCAUCAAAUUUCUAACCCAAUCCACUCUUUUUCUCCCUCCCCACCCACCGGUCAUUUGCUGAGAUGUCCACCACCUGCUUUUCUUUUUUACUCUCUAACCUCAUCUCUCUCUAAAUCUAAACUCUUUCCUUCUUCCUCUAACUUCAUUUCUCUGUCUCUUCUACUAAUCUCCACUCUAUCUCUUUCCCUAUAUCUCUAAUUGUACUCUCUUUUUCUCUAUGCUUUCUCUCUCCCUCCCUCUCUGUGUAAUCUCAACUCUCUCUCCCCCUCCCUCUAACCUCACAAUUUUGUUACCCCCACUCUCUUUAUCUCUCCACAUUCCUAAUUUAAAAACUCUCUCUUUCUCUCUCUCCCCCUCUCCCUCUCUCUAAUCUCAACUCUAUUUCUUUCUCUCUCUAAGCUAACAAAUUCCUCAUGAUUGUUGAAUAGAAAAAAGGUGUUUACAUUGCUGCUAAUAUUAUCUAAAUUUAAUUGCAAAAAAUAAACACAUUAAUUUUAUAUUUUUAGUAAUAUUAAAUAAUAUGAUUGUGCCAACUAAAUAUUAGAAUACCACAUUCUCAGUAAUAGGUUGAGUAGGAGUCAAAUUCUUGAAAAUUUCUUUAAUCCUUUUAUUCCUGAUAAUCUUUUCUUACGGGAACCAAACAAGCCUUAAGAUUCAAUAGAGUAAACAAGACUUAGUGCAAAGAUCAUUAUUUAUUUUUAAGCUAAAUGAUUAAAUUUUCUCCAGAACCAAAAGGUUACUUAAGUCCCCAGAUGAGCAAAAGUCCCUUCAACUCCCAAGAAAUUGUUUUAUUUAAGUUUGACUAUAGCAGCUUCACCACACUUAUCUCCUUAAACCAUACUGGAUAAUUUCUCUACCUAAGAUUAGAAAUGCAAUUGAUCUAAACAUUGAUUGUGACAUGAUUUGUUUUUUUAAUUUUCUCCCCCCUCUUUUGAGUUAAAACCAAUGGGCAUUGACAAACCAAAAAUUGUUAGUUUUAAUUGUUUAAAAUAGUGAUUUAAAACUUGAUUUUAGCCCAUGGGCUUCCUGGGCAGCCCAACUCUCUAUGGGCCUUGCAUGGAAGCCUGUGCCUUAGUUUCUACAUGAGGAGUUUAGUCCCAUAUUGGAAAGCAAAGAUAUGUUGUUAUACUUUAUAUACUCUCUUACUCUCACCUUUAUUACUUGGGAGAAUAUGAGAGUGAAGCUUUCGACUAAACACACGCACGGCACGAGCCGGGCCGGGCUGCGGCGCGCGUCAACCUCGGGAAGGACCCUAACGAGAUCAAUCUGGAUCUUGUCCAGAUUUGGUCUUGGUCUCAUCUCGGGAAGGUGCCAGAUCUUGGUCAAAGAUCCUCCUUGGACCAUAUUCCCGUUGGACCAUUCCAUAACCUGUCCUAUAUAAAGAGAGGUGCAUUUGUGCAUAUACAUUGUGAGCCUUAACCCGAGCUUGCAUACUCUUGUUCAUCUUCUCUUACACUGAUCUUUACAUCAUCUCAUCACUGAACUAUACAUUGCCAUUUUUGCUGGAUCUUUGAAAGCUCAUACAGUUCCCUGAAGACGUGCCGACGGGGUGGACAGCGGUCGUUGUACGGGGUGGACAGCGGUCGUUGUAUCGCUAGGAGUGAUUGCCGGAGCCUCGUACGUGAAGGGGCAAUCUUGCUUCUAGGACAGUGCUUUCGCAUGCCUCGACUCACAGACUUCAUCUGAUCUUUUAAUCUUCAUAGCAUUAACUAUUUAAGUUUUGCUUAAGGUUUUUAAAACUGAAGUUAAAUUGUUUUCAUUCAAAAUUGUUUAUAAAGAUAUUUUACUAAAGAUUUUAGAAAGAGAAUAAUUUUUCCAACAAAAAUAAAGAAUCACAAUGUUUGCCUUUCAUCAUCAAGCCAUAAGAGAGGGCAUUAGAGAAUCUACUGUUCCAUAUCCAACAUGAUUUAUGUGAGUGAGAUUGGAGCUGUUUGCAAGGCUGAAUAGAGUAAAAAGCUUUUCGAUGAGAAUACGUGCGGAGUUUCCCUGUAAGUCUUUAAAGGCCAGUAGUUUGUUAGAGAAAAAGGAGUACAACAAUUCGAGAUACAUGAUGAGAUGAGACAAAAAGUAGCACAGCUUAGUAGAUAGCUCUAGCACGGAUGCACGGAUGAGAUAAAAUGAAGUGCUGAUAGAUGUUGUGAUGCACGAACGUAUAUGUAGACGCACUAGGUGCAUGCUUUCUUAACGUCGUGAGUUGUUGGGAGGCAGGAAUUACAGCAAAGGUAAUCGGCAUGGGGUUAUCAGGGGCUGCAGUUCAGGGAUUUCGUGGUUGUUCGUUCACUGUCACCAAACUGCACAGUCGACUUGCUUUCUGAAACAACCGACUUUUCUACGAGCAUAAGUUAUAAAGAAUGGCGUUUUAGCGUUUAUAUACUUUAACACACCUCAUACUUGGUUUGAAUUGGCAGAUCCAAGACAGGAACCCUGAUAGGAGUUGAAUUGAUUAGCUCUAGCUAUAAUAUCAUGAAAAAAGAACUAGUCAACAUAAUAUCAUGAAAAAAGAACUAGUCAACAUUAUUUCAAGCUGUAUACGAAAUCAAACAGCUAUAUCAUUAACUAGAUCUCAGUGCAGCUGCUGCUACAUGUAAUCAAGCAAUCAAGCAAUCAAGCAAUCAAGCAAUUGAAGGGAUUCUCAUGCCUCUAUUGCCGAUAUUCUUCUUAUUCAUGUCUAGGUUCGUAGAUACACACAUUACUACAGAUAUGUAGGCCCAAGCAAGACCAACAUCAGGUGCUCGAUCUUUUUUGUGGAGUUUGCUCAGAGAAGUUGCAUCAUUUGCAAAGCUUACUCAACCAACACCAUGGCUUGUUUCUGCUCCUCUUCUUCCAUUUCCGUGUCACCAUUCUCUUCUUCCUUACGGAUUGAUUGUCGUUGAUGGUGGUAACGUAAUAUCACGACAGAAACAAAUGCUGCACAAUGAAAAAAGCAUUAGCACGUUCUCCAUAAUAAGUAGAGCAAAUGCAUACUAUCCGACAUAUGAAUGCAAUGCUUAUUUAAUAGGUCUAUCUCUUGUGUCUUAACUAAUCAGACAAUAGAUAAGAUUUUCCAUGUUUGUUUUAGCCCUUCACUGUUGGCAGGUUCAAGGAAUCCAAAAUGUGUUUUGCAUAGCAAAGUUGAUCAGAUUUACUACAACCGCUUUAUCAAGUAUCAAUACGAAUUAUCGCUUUGUCAAAUUUUACUGCCUUUCAUCAUUACCAUCACUUGAUGCAUUCGAGAAAAAAAAAAUCUUGUUUACUUUUCUUAUCACAGGGAAUUCAAGUUCUGUGAAUAUUUAAAUACAAGAUUCCAGGAUAUGAAAAAAAGUCAGAGGUAUGUCUACUAGACUGCUGCACAUAAAAUGGAAUAAUGAAUUGUUGACUUGUAUAGUGAACUGCACAUGCACUACCGUUUUAAUCUCCAUAUCUGGUUGAUUAUUGGAAAAAAGAUCUUUUAUAUUUAAGGAACAGUGCAUGAAUUAAUAGCAAAAUCCUGAAGUCACUUAUUAGGUUUUGUGCUCAAGUGUAACCACCAAAUUCUAGUAGAAUUCGAGUGCGAAAUGUAAAAACUUUUUUGAAUAUAAAUCAAAGAUUUCUAGCUACGAAUUGUUUGUCGUACCUGCGAUAAUCCGAGUCUUGACACUAAACAAGUUCCAUAACAUUGUUGCGGCCGAUGCGGCUACAAAUCUCUUGCGCGGGCAUGAUUUCCAUGCUUCCAUCACCCAAUUGCUUGCAUUCUCAACUGAUAUAUUACAAGUAUGCACCAUUAUCCAAGGUUUCAAAUGCAUUCAUCCUCUAUAUUGUAUUAAUUAACAACGGGCAACUUCUUUUACCUCUCCUAUGAAUCUGCUCUGUGUAGCAAGUGUAGAGUUUCGGAAUAGUGAAGCUCAAGAAAAACCCUGCAAAAUUUCAGAAACCAAAAUGAACAUCAGGAGCUCUCACCUUUUCACCAAUGUAAUGCGGCGUAUUAAUAGGAUAUUAUCAUGGUAAUGUCUAGUUGAACUAUACCUGCUGCUAAAAGCCUCCAAAAGGUUAUCAGGUGACCAUACUUGGCCCCGAAAAGAAGAAGAGGUAACACCUGAUAUUAGAGAUAAAACUUCAGUAAUUCUUGAAAGUUUCCACUAAAGUGUAGAUUAAUGGAAGGCUGAGAAAAGUUUGAAGACUCACUUUGAGAGUCAUCGAUGGCUCACCGGAGAACAUCUCUCGAAUCUUCGACAUGGCGGCAUUCGCAAUAGGUAGUAUUACACGGGCCGCGCGGACGAUAUCUUCUUCUUUCAACUCAAAGCUCCCUCCCCAUUUUAUCUGCUGCCUAUAAAUGAAUGAGACUUUCAAAUCAUUAAGUUCAACUUUUCAUCAGGAAUGUGUACAGAGGAAAAUUUUGAGUAGAAAAGAUUAAGUACCUCUGGGGCACAGAAUCUCUGAAGAAGGCCAAGCCCAAAAUCAGAAUACCCAGGUGACAAAUUGCGGAGAUGAUGCUGCAAAUAGCCCCCAAAAUCUUAAUCUAAGAACAAUUCCGCGUGAGAAAUAUUCUUAGUAAACACAAAUUGCUCGUACCUGAAGCUAAAAUCUUUGGAAAAUGAAGACGACAAGAAGAACAUCGACCCGAAACCGAACCAAAGAGACGAUUUCGCGACGUUCUUCCACAUUAUCAGUUCCAAAAUCCUCUCCCACAAACCUUCUACUUUUAUUUGUUUGUCGUGAGAAAUUACUUCUGCAUUGCAAACCGAUGUCAUCAGCAUUAGCUCAAAACUAAGAAAAAUUAAAUCAAGAACCAAAACAUUUUGGAAUAACCCAUGAACCUUCAUAAGAUCUUCACUUACUGGGCAAUGGACUCGGGAUCGGAGAAGGCGCCGAAGCCGCCAGAUCCAGCUUCUCUUUGAUCGCCACCUUGGUCCUGCUCUGCUUCCUCCUCCUCACCCUCCCAAGCUCAUCCUCCCCCCCAUGGCCCAAUUCCCUCUCAUCUCUAGCAAUAUCCUUCUCAAGCCUGCGCCGAGCCCUUCGAGCGUUCCUCGGCGACGCGCAACCGAUGAGCCCAUUGGCGGCGGCGGCGGCGGCGGCGGCGACCGCCGCCCUGCCCUUCCCUCUCCGGCGAGGCGUCGGGGUGGGGGCGUCGAGGCUCUCCCUCGGGGGGCGGCGGUGGGGGGAGGGGGAGAGGAUGAGGAGCUCGUGGAGGGAGAUGGGGCUGCGGCGGGUGUGGUUGGUGGCGAGGUGGAGUGGGGACGGGGAGAUUGGGGAUCUUCUUGGUUUUGAGUGAGGAGGGGAGGAGCGAGUGUAAGGGGGAGUGGAGGGGGUGGGGGACUCGUCCAUGGUGGGUUGGUGGAGGAAGAAGAAGAAGAAGAAGAAGAAGAGUUGAGAGAGAGAGAGAGAGAGAGAGAGAGAGAGAGAGAGAGAGAGAGAGAGACGAGGAGGAGGAGAUUUAGGGGUUAUGGUGGGGGAAUUGUUUGGAGAUUUUCUCGUUUGAUGUUGGGACCGGAAUAUAGCCGUUGGAAGAGGGAAGGAAACUCUCUGUUCUUUAUUAUGAUUUUGGUGGGCUUGUUUAAUGAAGGGGGAAGUUUUGAAUUGAGGAGAGAGCGAGAGGGCCAAAGAAAAGGGGGAACAGCAUCAAACGGCUAGGAGAUGCAUUGACUCAUGAGAAAUUGUUGCCUACACCAGGUGUAUGAGUAUAUCCGUACAUAUUAUGCACCAGACAUGCAAAUGCCUAUCCGGUAAUAACUAGUGGGUCCUGUUUGAACUUGAGAAUAAUUUUUUCGGAUAUAAAAAUUUUCUUAUAUCAUUUGCCAGUAAAAAGUUUAAUUUUUUAUUUCUUGAAAGACUUUUGUGCUCGUGAUUUAGAAGGAUAAUAUAUGUUGUCUCACAUUCGAAAUAAGAUAUUUAUUUAUCCAAAAAAUACGACUAUAAAUAAUAAUAAAAUGAGGAAUGCUUCAAUACACCGGCUAAAUUAAAUCUAGCCGUUCAUAUUUUAAGGACGAGAUUGACUUUUGCAUAAUAGUUACCUGCUCAGCAGGCUACCAUUCAUAAGGGUAAUAUGAAAAAGUAAAUACAAUCUGAUUACCAAAUUUGAUUAAUCCUAUACAAAUAUUUGUUUCCUUAUUUAAUUUUGUUACUUACCAAAUCAGAUAGUGCUAAUUUGAUAAGUAAUAAACCUUUAUAAAAUUGAAUUUAAAAUUCAAUUUGAGCUUAAACUUUAUAAUUGUGUACAUUAAAUUCAAAUUUAAUUUUAAUGUUAAUUUUCAGAACGAAAAAAUUUAUGAUUAAAUGAAUAGUAUAUUUCAAUUCAAAUUGUUAAUUUGAUAUUAAAAUGACACGAAAUUUCAAAUAUAUUAACUUAUUUUAAAUUGUAAAUUAUGCUGUAUUUAUAAACAUAACUUUUAUUAUUUAUUUAAAUUAAAGGCUUCUAUUUUUAAAAUUAAAUUUAAAUUGUUCAUUCGAUAGUAAAAACAACAUUAAAGUUUAAAAAUAUUGAUUAAAAUUAAAUUUUUAAUUUAGAUUUAGUUUAUAUUAUAGUUAAAAAAAUAAAUUUUGUUAACUAUUUAAACUAAACGAUUCUAUGUUUGAAAAUUAACUUUAAAUUAUAAAUCUGAAUUUAAUUUUAACUAGUAUAAUUUCAAAUUAUCUUUAAAAAGGCUUUUAGUUUGUUUAAAUUACACAUUAAGUUUAUUUAACUUGGAUCAUUUAUUCAAAUGGUAUAACUUAUCUUUACAUUGUCAAUCUGUAAUUAAAAAAGUUUUACUGUCUCUGUAUGGUUUAGCUCAUUUUUAUUUUGGCAUUCCAUGGUCUAAAAAAUCACUCUGCGCCAAUUCAAAGUUUAGCGCAUUUUUCACUUCGCCACCACAUUAUUUUUUAAAAAUUUUACUUUACCGCCUAUUUUGACAUAGGAUUUUUUGAUAAAAUAAAAAUUAAAUUAAUUAGGUUAAUAUUACACUGAUUGAGCCAUCCAAUCAAAUAAUUAUAACUUGAACAAUUAACUUCGGAUCGACUAUCCAUGUUCAAAAGUUAAAAUAUUAAUAUAUUACAUUCUUUUUAAUUGAAUUUUAGCUUUCACCGGCCAAUUUCAAUUUAUUAAGAGUUUUGUUUUGAAGUUUGACCACAUCAACUUCAACUCAUCAUUCAGCCAUCUAAAUUGGAGCGUAAGGCUCGAUGCAAUAAUUUAGAAGAUUUGAAUAAAAUUGGACAACCAAAGUAUUAUGUUUCUUAUAAUUUGAGAAAAAAUGUGUAAUUUGUUCUGAGACUUGUAAAGAUUAUAAAAGUGUUAUUUAUUUUAAUUAAGGUAUUGAACUGAAUUUAUUAGUACUAUUGAUCACAAAGUCAAAUACAAAAUUUUUCAAACAUUCACUUGGGGAUAAUAUUUUAUAUUCAAUUACUUAGAUGGAAAAAAUGAACUGUGACUUAAAAAUUUUAAGUGUAGAUUAGUUAUUAAGCAAUGGACAUGAAUUUCUCUCUCAAAAAGCUUCGGAGGAAGAUGUCUGUGAGUGAAAACUUUCCAAAAAUAGAAUGUAAUAUUUUAUAAUUACUAAAGGGGCAUUAUGGGAAUGAAAAUAAAAAUUUACAAAAAAAUCCUUCAUAUUACUUUUACAUAUGAGAAAAUAGUUUGCCCUUGAUAAGAGGGUGACUGGUAUCUACGGCAGUAAAAGUCAAUCACCCUCUUAACUAAAAGACACCUCCACCAUUCAUUUUAAAAAAUUUAAAGGUCGAGAUUUUUUUGGUGCACAGGAGCAUUGCUCUAAAAAAAUUUCAUGUAAGUACAAAUUAGGAGUUUAAUUUUGACUUAUUAAAAAGUAUUAGCAUUUGUGAUUUGAUAGAAUUGUGUACUUAACCUGCAAGUUGAUUUUUCUUAUUAUGAGAUAUUUGCAAGUUGAUUUUUCUUAUUAUGAGAUAUUGGUUCGAAGGUUGAAUAUAGUAUAUCUUUUCAAAUAUUUGAUGAUGUUCUUAUCUAGCAUACAGCAUACGUCUCCAAGAUCUUAACAAGUUAAUAUUUUUUUUGAGAGAUAGGUACCAUGUUAUUCUUUUCGUUUAUUUCAUUUAAAAAUAAAUUUAGCUGAAAAUGUGAAUCAAUUAGGAUUCGAACUUGGGUCUUCGAGUACCAACCACCAAGUUGUUUGCAGGAUUCGAAAUUGAGUUUUCGAGUACCAAUCACUAAAUCUUUCGCCACUUUCACUAGAAAUGUUAAUACAUCAAAAUAUAUGCACCAGCAUAGGAUAAGAAAUUACACUUUAUUCAGGUCAGCUGUUCAUUGAGCACGCAUCUGAUGAUACAACGUUAAAUCCAUGAUGCAAAAUACAAAUAAGAGAUUAAAAGGAUCUCAACGGCGCAAGAAACAAAAUUAAAAAAAUGUUACAUGUACACCAUUUUAUAAGAUUACACUUUACUCAUAUGAGGAUUUAAAAACUCUCUUUUGACUUAGUAUUAUUAAAAAUAGUUGAUAAAACAACUGAGUAAAUUUAAAUCUUUCAAAGCCUAAAUUAUAAGAUUACACAUAUAUUAUAAGUGUUAGGAUAACAUUGCUCAAAAAGAUUUGGACAAAAGGAAUUAAAAAUGUUCUUUAAAAGGAAAAAUCUCAAAACAGUCCCCUUUUGCGUAUCUGAUACAACUGCAGGUUAAUGUGCCCUUUGCAUAGGAUUGGCAAAUGAGCCAGCCGGCUCGCGUUUGGCUUGAUAUUCGGUCCGCUCAAGCUCGACUCAAAAUUAAAUAAACUGAGCUUGAAGAAAAAAUAAAACUUGAAAUAUAUUUCAAGCAAAGCUUGAGUAUUACUGGACUCACUCGAAUGAGGCUCGAAAAGCUCGAAUAUAAUAAAAAUAUUUAUAAAUAUAUAAAUACAAAUAUAAUUAUAUAUAAUAUAUAUUUUAAUUAUAUACAAUAAUAUAUAAUAUCUAUAUUAAUUACAUGUAUAUAGAGUUUAAGUUAUUAGACAUAUUUAUUGGCCCAUAAAAUCAACCAGCAAAUUCCUACUCUAAUUACUCUCUCCCCGUCUUUUUCACUUGCUUGCAGUGUCGCUUCCUCUAAAUUAUUUUUCUUAGUAUUAUGAUACUGUAUUUCAUACAUUUAUUUUGUAUUUUGAACUAUUAGACAUAUUUUUAUAUCAAAUUUUAGAUUAUAUAUAUAAAAAUUAAACUAUAAAUUGCAUGAUUUAAGAAUUUCAAAUGGUUCCUUUAGAGCUCGAACUCGCUUGACUCGAAGUUAAGCUCACUCGAGUUCAGCUCGAAUUAAUUUCAAGCCGAGCUUGAGCCUAAAUUCAAAAUUAAUUUCAAGCCAAGCUUGAGGUAAGAUAAUCUCGCUCAAGCUCAGCUCCUUUCCACCCCUACCCUUGCAGAGUGCCUUGCACAAUACAGAUCAAGCAUAUGAAGCGUAAAUAAAGUUUACCCAUAAAAGGAUAUCUAAAACAUUUUCCGGGUUGAUAUGGGAUACCUGGGUGAUAUUUACGUGGGAAGAUUUAAUAACACCCUUUCAUAUCUUGUCCUAAAAAAAAAACUAGUAAUGACCGUUAUUUAUCAUCUUAGUUGCAAGGCGGUCAAUAUUAUACCAACUUGCUCAAUCUGUAUCAGAAAUUGCAGCAGAUGAAAUCCUGAUGCCAACUUCUGAUACUACAGGAACUCAAGUACUCAACCAAUGCCUUUUUCUAUUUUUUUACAAAAGGAACUUCAAGAACCUAAUUGACUUGCAGAGUAAUCUGAUUAGCAACACCAUAAGCACUAUCAAAAGGUAUAUACAGAAGACAAGUUUAAAAGAUAAUAAUUUCAUAUAGGUUCCUACAAAUAUAGUGAAUGACAAAUAUAUCACUAUAAAGUUCAACUUUUAUAUAUUGUUCCUGCAAAAGUUUUGAUAUUUUCAAAUAUAUCUCUGCCGUUAGAAUUCGUUAGAAAAAUUUAGUUAAUCAUAUAUUAAAUAUUUAACCCCGGUUAAUUUUUGAUAUUUUUAUCCCUCUUAUAUUAUACUGUUAUGGCUUUCGGAGGACAUAUUUGUCAUGACAAAAUUGAAAAUAUAAAUAGUUUUCUAACGGUCCUCUAACGGUAACAAACCAGAGAGACAUAUUUGAAAACAUUAAAACUUUUGUAGGAACAACAUAUAAAAAUUGAACUUUGUAGUAAUAUAUUUGUCAUUCACUAUAUUUGCAGAGACCUGUAUGAAUUAACCCUGGGAACUUGCAUUCACUACAUAAAUAUAUAAAAAGCACAAACUGGAACACGGAAGAGUCACCAGCCUUUCUGAAAAAUACACAGUAAAUAACUGCUAAUAUUGAUUGCACUCCAGAGUCAAAUAGGGAAUAGCACAAGAAAUUAAACAUAGGAAUAAUCCUUUUAUGCAAAGUAAAUCACGAUAAUACAGUUCUUUAACAACAUCCUCCUCAUUCGUAAGGAACACGAACCCUUUCUGGACCUUCCCUCAGGUCCUCCCAAAGCAAAUCAGAGAGCGCGAGUGUUAGUUUCCCCACUUUUCCUGCACAAAAGAAGCAAAUGUUAAUCUUAUCAAAUGGAACCGAGAGCAGACUAAGUAGCGACAAAGAUUAUUAUUACCAUCUCCAAUGGGCUGACCAUCCCAUUCAAUAAUAGGUAAUAUAGGAAGCCCACUUCCCACAAACAUCAUCUGGGCUGACUCCUUUGCUUCAUUCAGAGUGAUAUUCGCGGUGCUCACACUCUUAAGAAGGCCCUUCUCAACCAAUUUUGGUGCUAAGGCCAGUAGCCUCUUUGCAGUACAUCCGCUCAGGAUUUUAUCGAAUGAAGGAAGCACCAAAUCCCGGCUUUUGCUGAUAAAUGCGACAUUUACAUUAGGCCCCUCUGCAAUAUACCCUUGCUCAUCGACCCAUAUUGAAGCAAAUGCGCCUUUCUCUUCCGCUUCCAUUACAGCGAGAACAUUUGGGAGGUAGUUUACGUUCUUCAUUGUUGCAAACAUAGGAGGUUUCAUCGGGGUGUUGGAUGUAACAACCUUCACGCCUUCUUUGCACUGAGAGUAGUCAUCGCCUAUGACGACACCAUAGAAUGCGGCUUUAGGGCAGCCUUUGGGUGAAAGCAAGAAAUCACCAGGGCCCGCGCUCAGCCAGUAUCUGAUCGAGCCUUUCUUGCACUUUGAUGCAGCUGUCAUCUGGAUGAGUAUCGUUCGUAGAGUUUCGCGAGGAAAAGGUGGAGUGAUCUUUGCUUUCGAUGACGACCUCAGGAACCGGUCCAAAUGUGCAUCGAGCUCGUACAAGUAGCUAUGAAUGUUGUUGACAGAGAUAGUUCGUAAUUAGACAUACAUGAUGGCCCAUGAAUAAUUCAUGACGAUAAAAUGUUUCAAUUGAUAGGCUCAAAGCUUUUUAACCUAAUAAUCAAGCAUUCAAUUUCUGUGCCAUAAUUUCACAACCAACAAAUUGAGUUGGAUCAAACAGCCCUCAACUAUGAACGUUUGGCCAAGAACUAAGUCAUAAAUUGCAAAUAUCCAGGACUCUGGAUUUCAAAAGAUAUUACGCCAGAGAAUAGCUUUUGUCCUUGAUCUACGAUACUAGCUGAUAAAGUAUACAGGUCUUUAGAGGUUAGACUUUCAUCUUAUUCUGAAAGAUUGCUUGACCAAGAUGAAGAACACGAGAUUGAUGCACAGGAAAUUACAUGUGACUAGUGAGCAGAGAAGACCAUGGUUAAAGAACAACAAAAACAAAUAUACUAUAGGUUAAUGUAGAAACAUAUUUCAAGAAAUUAUGCAUAUGAGGCCUGUUAACAAGGUAGAUGAAGAUUUUUUAUUCCUUCUCUCUUUUUCCUUUUCUUUUUCGCUUUUCUUCUUCUGUUUUUUUAAGAUCUAGGGAAGGUAAAUGUCCAGUAUUCUCAAAAUAGUAUCGUACUGCCUAGAGAACUUCAAAACAUAAACGUGAAUAGAUAGAGUGAUAAGUUUAGUAAACAUAAAACUUGCCAACAUGAACAUCUCACAAUCACCUUUACAAAAAAUCAGAAAAUGAUUCAUGAAAACAAUACAAGGUUAAUAGCAGUUCCCUGUACUUGAUUUAUUAAAAAAAUUUCAUGCAAGCACAUAGAACUUUGGAGAAGUAAAAAAAGAUUCCCCUACGUGUUCAGCAUUAGGACAACAAUUUCAGAGUAUUAUAAUCGCAAGGAUCAGUAUUAAGAGCUGUGCCUACCCAUCCAUGAGCAUAGCAGUAUCAAAAACACCGUGUCCUCUGUGAACCAUGUGAUCAUCAAUUGGAAUAACCAUCAUGGCUGGAUCAAGUAUGAUCGCACCAAUGACGCUAGAGUACAUCGCUGGGUAUGCCUGUUUCCUCCCAGAUCCCCAUUGUUCUUUCAGCUUCUCCAGCACCUACCCAAUCCAGUAAAAAAAAAAACUUAAAUUUAAAGUCACAGUGGCCUGAAUGAGAAGCAUGGAGACCUACCUUACUGCAAAACACGAAAAUAUGUCAAGAUACUUGCUUCCUCUCUAAAAACUAGUAUACACUAAAAAAAAAAACUACGGAUUUCAUCUCAACUUUUGAGGAUUUUUCAAACUAAUAUCUAAACAUUGAAAAGUUUGAUUCUAGCGCUCAUUUAUAUAAUAUCUUUAAUUUUAGCACAUUCCAAUCAGAAUUUAGCUGUAUCUGUGACAUUUUCGACAAAAUAUGUGGCAACCUAAUAGAAAACUAUUAUAUUUGAUGAAAAUUCAUAAAAUCUAAUGGAAUUUCACAAAAUUUUCUAAGUAGUUUUAAAAAUUAAAAAACAAUGAAAGGGUAGUAGAUGACAAAAUCAAGGUGCCAAAUUUAAUUGAUCGUGCAACUAAGUUUUCCAUGAAAAGAAUCACCUCGACGGAGCAAAUGGUUUCCCCAGUUCCACUUUAUAACGAACGAAGUAAAUCCCAUAGGAACCCAAACACUAAAUGCAAGCAAUAGUAACAAAGUGUAGCAAUUUACCUCUACCCCGGUGGAGUAGACCGGGACUUGGACAUGGGCCCCUGAUUCAGUAAAAACAAACGGAAAAGUAGUGAUAAUUAGAACAAGCCAUCAAAGUGUUCGACGAAAUGCGUCAGCUAGGAACAAGAGCGGAAACCGAGGAAACUGAAACCUGGGUUCGGAUCGGAGGAGCCAUCCAUGGCGACAGAAGGCGAAGAGAGUGGAAGAAGAAGAAGAAGAAGAAGAAGAAGGGAAAUGGAAAUGGGGUGGGGGGCGAGGGGUGGGGGGGUCGCUUAAAAAGGGGGAACGAAGACAUUGGUUUCCGUUUUGUCGAGUAGCAGCACUGCACCUAACUAAUGACGUGAAGUUGCACGAAAAAAAAGAAAAAGAAAAAGAAAAAUCAACGAAAAAAUUACUGACACCCCCUCAAAUACAGACAAAUUUGCAACACCCGCCUCAACUUCGGGCAUUCACAAAUUUAAGAAACUGAUUUGCAUGCUGUUAAAAAUACAAUAAUAAUAAUUGUGUCUUUUUUUUGUUGGAUAUAUUAGAGACGACUGCUGCAGUACGUGAUAAAUAAUUUUUUUGGUUGCAUACAAUUGAAAAUCAUAUUUAUUAAUUUUAUCAUUCCAUAUCUGAAACAAAAAUAAUAAAUUUUUUUGUUUAAAUGGUGAUUUAUGAAACAAAAGCAAAAAGUCUUUCUAUUUAAAUAGUGAUUUAGAAGAUAAUUUUAUCUUUUGUUUAGGUAAAUCUUUUCAUUAUUUGUAGAUUUGCGAUCAAUUUGGACGUAAUUUUAAUUACUGGGCGUGAGUUUCUUCGUAUAAUUCUAAUUAUAGCAGUUAAAUUCAAAUAUAUCAAAUAAAAAUUAUAUUUAACUUUACAUAUAGUUAUAAUUAUAAUUACAUACAACCAAACAUCCCUAGUUGCUCCCUGAUUCUCACUUGAACUAAUAUUUGAGGGCUGCUAAGAUAUUGCCAAGUGUCCCUUACAAUGUUGUUAAUGACACGGCAAUAUCAUUAAUACUUCCUAAACUAUAAUUACUAUAUUCCAAACAUUAUUAGUAAAUCCUAAGUAUUAUCAUUACACACUAAAUUCUAAAUUCUAACUUCUCUACAUAUGUAUGCCAUCAUAUCAACUAGUGUAGUUAUCUGCACGAUGCAGCGGACAGAUAUUAUCGAAACGAUUUUUUUAUUAUUGUUGAUCAUCGAUGCUAGUAUGAAAUUGUACAUAUAUCAAAAAAAAUACAGUGAAAAGAUGAAGAAAGAAAAAAAGAGAGAAAGAAAGAGAGGCGUAAAAUGAAGGAAUGACAAAAUAAUUUAAAUAAAAUUAUUAGCUAGAUUAAUAAUUCAAUUAAUUUAAAUAAAAAUAAUUUAAAUAAAAUUAGCUCAAGUUGCUAUAAAAUUUUCAUAUAUAAACUUUAAUAUGAUUUAAAUUGUAUUUGUUCAAUUAGAUUUUAAUUGUAUAAUAAUAAAUUUUAUAAAAUUAUUUAGUGUAUAUAUAAAAUUAUAAAUUCGGGUAAGCAAUUAUUUAUAACAUACAUGCAAAUCCUUUAAAAGAACAUCUAAUUCUAGAAAUAAAUCCUAUAACAAAAUAUGUUUCUACCAGUUUAUUAUUUAACAAUUUUACAUACAUCUAAAUAACUAGAAAAGAAAUUGAAAAAAGCUAAUAGAUAGGGUGGUUAAAAAAAAACAUUAAAGAAAAAGCAAAAUACAAAAAAAUUCUGAUCACUUGAUUAUCACCAUAUAUACUAUCAGUAGUAAGUUGAUUAUAUAUCCAUACACUCUCUUUCACUUCUGUCGUCGCCGCCGAUCUUCUACCACCACUGUCAUCCCCACCAAAUAAACGACGGGAUCUACGGAUUCUAUGAACUCGAUACAAUGCGACAGUGAUGAAAGCGAGCGACUUUUACGGGAGAGGGAAAGGGUGAAAGAAGUUUAGCAAAAGUUGAAAAACGAAGAGACUAAUAGAGACAAAGGGGAAGAAAAAAUUAAUUAUUAAUUAAUUACAUUAAUAAAGAGAGAGAAGGUGGGGUUAUUGCCUUAUUGGAAGGUAAAGAGACGGACGUUAAAGAAGAGUAGAAGAGUUAGAACUAUUGGAAGGUGAGGAGGUCUACGGUGAAGAAGAUGAGAAAAAAAUAAUUAAAAAAAAAUAAUUUACAAAAUAUAAAAAAAUGAGAGCUUGUGACGUCAUCAUUUGAUAUUGGGGAUUCAUAUAAGAGUAUAGAUAAUAUUGUGGGGUAUCCAAGAGUAGAGUCGCCAAAGCAUUUCUAAAAGUCCAUUCAUAUAUAGCCAAUCUUUAUUUAAUAUUUGUUUUAAUGAACGUGAUUUGCUUGACGGUGAGGUUCAACCAGUUUUGUCUUGCUGAAACUUUAGAUGUGUCGUUAGUGACUUUUUAACAUCGUUAGUGUUUAUUUAGAUCACAAAUCACUUAAUUUCAAUAUAUUAUGUAUAGUUAGAUAUUUUAGCCAAAUACUUUUGUGUAGACGGCAUUUUAACAAUUUUUGUAAAUAGUGAAAAGUAAAGGGAACUGGAUUUUAUUUUAAAUAGCACUGUAAAAAUUUCUAAUUGAUUAAAUUAUCCUUUCAAAAUUUUAUUUAACCAACGAACUCUUUUCUUACUAACUUAGUACCAUGUUGGACAAAAAUGAGAAAGAGGAUGAAUCGUUCAUCGUCUUUAGAAAAUGAUGAAUCAUUUAUCAAUUUUUAGAUUCAUAUUGUUGUUUAUAAUUUUAUUUUUUUGGUAUGGAUUGAUUAUGAGCAUGUUUGUGAGGUUGUUAGACUAAUAUGCGUAUUAUUACGAGUUGAAUUAGAAUACAUCUAAAAGCACCAAGUUUUUAGCCUUUAGAUAUAUCCCUUGACUACUAGUAACCUUUGGAUCAAAUGCUAUUCCACUUACCACCAUUCAAUUCAAGUGGGCUACUAUAAUCCUAGCCCUAUUCUAGCUCAAUUUUUAUUAUUAUAAUUUUUGUUCAAUUGUUAGGAUUGUAUAAGCUAGUAGGUAGUUAAAUUUUUUUUGGAUUGUUAGAACUGUAUGUGAUUUAUUAAAUUUUUAUGUAAUUAUUAGAAUUACGUAUGAAAGAAACAAUGAAUCAUUCAUCAUUUACUUUCUUUAGAAAAAGAUAGUAAAUGAUCUUCGUCCUUUUAAUUUUAUUAACAUUUUUCCAUCCUGGCAUUGAGUUCUACAAAAUCAGAUUAUUUGAGCAAAUAAAAUUAUGGUAAGAUCAUUUGGCAGCCAAACUUAAAAAUAGAAUUUGAGAAAAAAAUAUAAUUUUAUUUACCGCACUUUUUCCAACUUAUGUCAAAAUAAAUAGUUAAAAUUCUCACUCACAUUAAAACUCUACUUUUCGUUUAAGUUUUUCCGAUCCAAACAUGCUAUUUAUGUAAAAUGUUUUUAUUGAAAGAAUUACUACAAUAAAUAAGCCCAAGCACCCUCAUUGUGUUAUGUGAAGUAAAGAGUAUAAUCAGUGGUAAUUGAUAAAUUCGUAUGAAAAUAGUAUUUUUUUUAAAAAAUUUAUUUUAUAUUAAUGUGCAACAUAGAAAUUUUUUUAUUAUAUAUUAUUAUUUCUAUAUGGAAUAAUUGUGACAUAGAAGGCUCUUCCAACUAUAUCUCAUAAAUUAUCCCGAAUAGAAAAAAAAAAAUCCAAGCAAAGAUUUUUCAUGACAUGCAAAAAUGCAAGAACAAAAUUGUUCUAAAACAUCAAUACAACAUAGAAGUUAUCAAAUAAGAAAUAACCCUUAAUUGGACAUUUUUUUAUCUUCCAUGGCACAAUAGAAUUGGUUUAGAGCAAAACUUAUAAUAUGGAAUAACUCUUAGAAACAACACAUUUUUCAACUUUAGAGUCCUAUUUGGCCAUCAGAACAAGUUUUUUUGAAAAUUACUUGUUUGGUGUGAAAAUUCUAUUCAGUAUUUGAAAGUUAGAAGUUUGAUUUUAAUUUCUUGAAAGAUCUUGAUAUAUAUAAUUUGAUAUUUGAUAGAAAAGCAUAUUUCGCCUAUAACGUAAUUUCACCUAAUAAAAUAAUUUAUUUUAUUCUGAAAAAAAAUAAUUUAAAGUUGGAAUACAAUAUAACAUUUUAGACAUUUGAUUUACAGUCCUCACUACCAAAUAUAUAAACAUCUUGAGUGAAUCAAAAAGAUCUAUGGGAUAAGAUAUCUGCACAUUCAAAUAGGGUCUAUAUUUUUUAACUAACGCUUUCUCAAUCAAUAUCUUUUUAAUAUUUGAAUAGUUAUACUUAUUUAAAUUAAAAAUUUUGUUAAACUAUACCUCCUGUUACCUAUUAAUACUUUAAUCACUAUAACAUUGAGUCCGGCUGGGAUACUAUCGAUAGCACGAAGCAUUUGGUACUAUCAAAUUUUCUGCCGUUAGAUUUAGUUCUUUUAUCAUUUUCAUCCGUUCGAUUAUAUUAUUCAACCAAACACCCGCUCAACUCCAGGGGAACCACAUCAUCCUAACUAUAUAUCUUUUAAUCCAAUGGUGAAAAACUUAAUAGCACAAGUCGUUCAUGCUAUUAAUAGUAUUUCAACCUAGCUCCUAUAACAUUAUUUGCUAAAAGCAAUUAAAAUUAUUGUUUAAAGAUCACUAAUAAAAUUUUAAUUUGGCGGACUUAAAAUAUUAUUCCUCCAACAAAUUAGGUGAAACAUAUUAGAAGUUUCACAAAAGGGGCAAUUGCCUAUAUACCCCUGAAAAGUUUCCGGUUUUCUUAUUUUUAAAAUUAACCACUUACAUAUUAUAGGCAUAUUUAGUGCAUAGACUUUAUUAACGGCUUAAGUAAAAAAUCGGCAUAAAAAGUUGAUUAAAUUUUUAAUUUUCUACUUAAUAUAGACAUGGCUUAAAAAUGGCUUAGGCUUAAUUGAUUGAUAUGGAGAUCGUCUUAGGCUUAGGCUUAAUCGACUUAAAAAAUAGGGCUUUAAAAUUAACCACUUACAUAUUAUAGGCAUAUUUAGUGCAUAGACUUUAUUAACGGCUUAAGCAAAAAAUCGGCAUAAAAAGUUGAUUAAAUUUUUAAUUUUCUACUUAAUAUAGACAUGGCUUAAAAAUGGCUUAGGCUUAAUUGAUUGAUAUGGAGAUCGUCUUAGGCUUAGGCUUAAUCGACUUAAAAAAUAGGGCUUUAAAAUUAACCACUUACAUAUUAUAGGCAUAUUUAGUGCAUAGACUUUAUUAACGGCUUAAGCAAAAAAUCGGCAUAAAAAGUUGAUUAAAUUUUUAAUUUUCUACUUAAUAUAGACAUGGCUUAAAAAUGGCUUAGGCUUAAUUGAUUGAUAUGGAGAUCGUCUUAGGCUUAGGCUUAAUCGACUUAAAAAAUAGGGCUUUAAAAUUAACCACUUACAUAUUAUAGGCAUAUUUAGUGCAUAGACUUUAUUAACGGCUUAAGCAAAAAAUCGGCAUAAAAAGUUGAUUAAAUUUUUAAUUUUCUACUUAAUAUAGACAUGGCUUAAAAAUGGCUUAGGCUUAAUUGAUUGAUAUGGAGAUCGUCUUAGGCUUAGGCUUAAUCGACUUAAAAAAUAGGGCUUUAAAAUUAACCACUUGCAUAUUAUAGGCAUAUAGACUUUAUUAACGGCUUAAGCAAAAAAUCGGUAUAAAAAGUUGAUUAAAUUUUUAAUUUUCUGCUUAAUAUAGAAAUGGCUUAAAAAUGGCUUAGACUUAAUUGAUUGAUAUGGAGAUUGGUGGUUCCAACCAAAUCGACGCUAGCUAGAGUAGACAAAUAGACGAGCGAGGGCUGCACGAAAUAAUUAAUUAACUAUAAACUUCCCGUUUAAUUUUUUCAUAAACGAUAUACUUCCCAUAUAUUCUUUUCAAUCAAUGCCAUGUUCCCAUAUAACUUUACCCGUUUUACCAUUAAAAGGUCUCUAUUGCCGUCGAGUGACUGCCUUGAAUUGAUGUCCCCAUAUAAUCUUUCUGAACCUUGUAUUCUUCCCAUAAAAGUUAUAAUCGGAAGAUUCUCCCCAUNGCUUCCGGCACGCAGACGGCCUCCGGCGAGAUGGGAUCGUCGUUGCAGCCCUCUUGCUCCCGGCGCCGGCCAAGACGGCGGAGGAGGAGGACGAUGACGACGAGAGCGGCGGAGGAGGAGCUCGUGGAGGAGCCGAUCCUGGAAUGGAGGAGCUCCUGGAGGGCACGGAGCUUGCGCUUCAAAAGGGCGGAGAAGUUGGCGAUGGUGGAGGCGCGCGGGGAGGGGACCAAGGGGAGGAGGUGGUCGCCCCAGCGGAAGCGCCUGGAGAGGACGACUUCGAGGAGGGACGGGAGGGAGUCGAGGGAGGGGCGAGGAAAGGAGGAGCGGGGGGUCGAAGGGGUCGCCGUCCUCUCCGCGACGAUGGGUUGGGGUCGGGGUUGGGGACGACGAUAGGGGGAGGAGGGAGAAGGAGAAUGACGAAGAGGAUGAGGAGGAUAACUUAAGGAAUUAGUAUAAUGUGGUAGGGGCAAAAUAGGUAUUUUAUUUAGAUUUUAACUCUAGUAUACAUUUAACCCAUGUUUAACCUGAGUUAAGCUAACAGAGGAUAACUGCAGGGAUAUUUUAGAAUAACGGUGGAACAUAUGAGGGGCAUUUUAGAAAGAAAAAAAAAGCAAGGGUAGAUCGGAUAUAUCCGAGCGUAUGAGGGGUAUAUAGGCAAUUAUCCCUCAAUUAAAUUACUUACAACGUACUAAAUAUAUCUACUUUUGUUGUCUUUUUGUGAAGGGAUAAUUGCUUAUUUAAAAUUCAUAACAUAAUUAGAUAAAAUUAUUCAGAUAAAAAAAAUUAAAAUUUGAAAGGCAUCAAAAAAGAGAAAAAAAAAAAGAAAACCAGGGGGAAUUUCAAAUAUGCUACAGUUGAGGGGUUUCUCCACAAAUCAUAACCAAAACAUAAGUAUUCAGUAUUCAGUAAUGGUGGAAAGUGGGUUCUUCUUUUUCAUUUUCCUGAGCAUAGUGGUGACAACAAUGGGCUUACGACAGAGAAAAAGACAGGGAGCAGGACAACAAAAUCGGCACCAACACAAUUAUAAGGGUUAAAAAAUUAUCCUCACCUUAAACACAUUAAAUUGCUUAAAAUUAUUGGCCUGAUAAAGCAAACCACUCAUAGCACUUCAUCCUCUUCUGUGUGGAUUGUCUGCAGUGCGACAAUCAAUCAAGACUGUAUACAUAUAGAGAGAGAGAGAAUUUAGCUCUAUAAAAGUAAAGAAACUCAAUGAGCCAUCCAACGUCUCAAAAUUCGAACAAUACUAAUAAAAGAGACUUAAUGGGACACGCCGUUACUUAAUAAUGCUCUACGGAUCUUAAGAUGAUCCGACGGUUAAAAAUCACGAACACAUUGAGCUCCCGUACUUUUUUUAACUCUCUCUCUCUCUCUCUAUAUAUAUAUAUAUAUUGAAAGUAAAAUUAAUCUAUGAAAUACCUCAAUUCCGAUUCGAAAAUCGUGAUAAAAUAGGAUCAAACCAAACCACUCGCUCCAACGGAUCAAAUGCAAGAUCACAAGAUGGAAAUUGCACUAGUUUCCACAACCCAAAUGUCAAAUCCUCCAAGACGAGAGUAAACUUUAAGAAUUCAGUGAUUGGGAGAAAAUCUCAUUGGGAGAAGAAGAAGCAGAAAAGUAAGUGUCUUUUUUUGUUUUUUUUUUUUUUGUUUUUUUUGUUUUUUUUAUGUUACAUCCCUCCUUUCUCUCUGCACGUUUGUAACUGCUCGUACUGGGUGGUUUCCCAACCAACUAAGGAAACCACCUCUUAAUGGGUUGGGUCGGAUUUGCCCAUCAUGGGCGACCCGAAACCCGAUUAAAAAACCAACAUCUCCCACUCGCACGUGAUGGGCAAACAAUUCCCAUUAUCUUGGUGAUUUUCAUACUGACAAAUGGGUCGUGUGACCCGCGAGCCAACUCAUAAGCCUAUCUAUGCACCUGUUAGAGAUACAUAAUAGCUGUGAAAACCAAAAUGAUAUUUUAUUCUUACCCAUAUCAUGACUCGCUAUGCCCUAAACAAAAUUAGUUAUGUCAAAUUAAGUAUACCUAAUCCCUCAAAAUGGCUACACUUAAUCUUUCUUUUCUUACUAUGUAUUCACAAUUAUGCUCCAACUUUUCUACAAAAGCAACAUAAGUGGUCGACCGGUGAAUACAUAUGCUUGACAUAAUCUAAAAUGUCUUCCUUUUGUUCUCAUACUUAUCAGUUUUAGACCAACCACUUUCCUAGACAUGCCCCAUAAGGCUAAUUAUUUCAUCACCGCUGGAAACAUGCUAAAGUAGCAAACAUUGAUCUAUUAUAUCAGAAUAUAGACAUAAGUUACUAAGGGCACUUAAGAGACCAUUGUAUAUUUAAGGUCUCGAGGAACUCACACAAUAAGAAUGCAGGGAUUCUAUUUAUUUAACCUCAUUUUCCUCAUAGUCACUUUUACACACGCGGUAUGAAACGCAUGUUAUGGUGUAAUUUCUCCUCUAAGGAGCGUAUGUCAAAUAAAAUCAUAAACACCGUACAGAUUUCAGUUAAACACCUCAUUGCAUCUAACUCGAGUUCUCUAUACAACAAUUUUAUCGUAUUGUCUAUCAGAGAUCUCACAUCUGGUAACUCAGGCUAACAUGAUUGUGGGGUCAUCAUGUUCGGUCCAAAAAGAUACAAACAAUUCAAAUACAGACCUCAUCUUGACUUUAGUCAAGGCGACAUAUAUAUGUACACUUUUAAACUCUCUUAUAACACAUCUCUGGUUUUCUUAAAAGAUGAAUGUACAUUUGUCUCAUCUCAGCACGCCUUCUUCGCAUCUGAGGCAGUCGCUCGUGUGAGAAAGUCGACUACAGCCUGGUGACAUACCUUUUAGAUAUCACAUAUUUUGUGCUAGUAUCAAUGUAUACUUUUCACAUAGAAAAUAGAGUAGAGUGCAAACUUCAUUAAUACAAUGUACUAAUACAACAUUGUAUGGUCAAUCUUAAAGUACAGUACAUCAUAUUCUACGCAAUCCUGACGAUUCAACAUGUGAUCUGAACACAUCUCUUGUCAGAGGUUUUGUGAAUGGAUCAGCAACCAUCAGAUGCGUAGAUAUAUACUGUAGAAACACAUCCUUUUGUGCCACAAUGUCUCUUAUAAAAUUAUUCUUUAUAUCUAUGUGCUUUGUUCUUCCAUGAUAUUUCGGAUCCUUUACAAAAGCAAUUGCAGCUUGAUUGUCACACUGGAUUUUCACAAAGUUAAAGUUAUUUUUUGUUAUUCCCAAACUUUGUAAAAAUCUUCUCAACCAAACUGCCUCUUGUACUGCUGCUGAACAUGCUACAAAUUCAGCUUCUAUGGUUGAUAUGCAGUACAAUUUUGUUUCUUGCUAUUCCAAGAGAUGGCGCCAUCGCUAAGUAAGAAUACAUAACCAGAAGUGGAUUUGCGCUCAUCCAGAUCUCCUGCCGAAUCUGCAUCUGAAUAUCCCACCAAACGCAAACCUUUUCCUUGAUAGCACAAUGAAUAAUCUGCAAUUCCUUUGAGAUAUCUAAGGAUCCUUUUAACACCUUUCAAGUGUUUCAUGCUAGGGUUUGAUUGAUAACGGCUCACUAAACCCACGACAUAACAUAUAUCUGGCCUCGUACACAUGGUGGCAUAUAUUAGACUUCCAACAGCACUAGAGUAAGGAAUUUUAGCCAUUGCUUUUCUUUCUUCUGCAGUUUUAGGACACAUAUCAAGACUUAGGCCUUCACCCUUUGCUAUAGGAGUAUCAAUGGGAUUACAAUUCUGCAUAUUAAAUCGUUCCAAAAUUUUCUUGAUAUAAGACUCUUGUGAAAGACCCAAUAAUUUUCUAGAACGAUCUCUGUAAAUUUUCACUCCAAGAAUAUAUGCAGCAUCCCCCAUAUCCUUUAUUUCGAAAUUAGAGUGUAACCACUCUUUAAUGAUACUCAUGAAUCCUUAUCAUUUCCUGCCAACAGUAUAUCAUCAACGUAUAGAGAUAAAAUUGUAAAUUUACACUCUUCACGUUUAAUAUAUACACAAUGAUCCGCAUUGAUCAUAUUAAAAUCAUAAGAUGUUACAGCUCUAUGGAAUCUCAAAUACCAUUGUCUGGAUGAUUGUCUUAGGCCAUAUAAGGAUUUUUUUAGUUUACAAACUUUAUUUUCUUGGCCAUCAACUUCAAAACCCGAAUGUUGAUCCAUAUAAAUUUCUUCAUCCAACUCACCAUUGAGAAAAGCUGUUUUAACAUCCAUUUGAUAUAACUCUAAAUCUAAAUGAGUUACUAUGGUAAGAAUUAGACGAAUGGAGGUAAAACGCACUACCGGUGAAAAGGUUUUCUCGUAAUCAAUACCCUCUUGUUGAGUAUAAUCUUUCGCCACUAGGCGAGCCUUAUACCUUUCAAUGGAUCCAUCUGCCUUGCGUUUAAUUUUGAGAACCCAUUUGUUCCCUAUAGUCUUGCGCCCUGGUGGCAGAUCAACCAAGUCCCAGACAUGGUUGGAUUUUAUUGACUCCAUUUCUUCUUCCAUUGCAAUUUUCCAUUGUUCUUUCUCUGGGCAAGAUAAAGCAUUUCUUACAUUCUUAGGUUCGGCUUCAUCAUGUGAAGCUACCAUAAAGGCUUCACCCUCAAUCUCAAAUCGUCGUCGAGGAAUGAUUUGACGAUUGCUUCUUCGCAAUUUUAAACCAUGUGAAUCAUAUUCACUCCCACUAGGUUCAUGUGUGUCGUCACCAAUGAAGUCUUCAAUUUCACAUAAUUGAAAUUCCUUGUCAAUUUCACCUUUACUGGAAAAUUCAUCCUCUAUGAAUGUGGCAUCACGUGAUUCUAUUUCAGUUAAACCUCCCUCGGAAUGUUCACCUAAGAACACAUAACCUUUUAAUUAUUCUGAGUAUCUUAUAAAGAUACAUUUCUUCCCUUUAGGACCUAGUUUUUCAUACUUGUGGGAAGAAUCAUGGACAUAGGCUGUCGACCCCCAUGGUCGUAAAUAAGUUAAAUCAGGUCUUCUACCUGUCCAUAACUCAUAGGGAGUAGAUGCAACUGAUUUAGAAGGUAUCAUUUGAAGUAUAUAAGCUACUGUUAAAUAGGGGUGUUAACGAGCCGAACACAAGCGAGCUGGGGUCGCGCUCCGUGUUCGGUCGUUUAUUAAACGAGCCGAACACGAGCUGGCUCGUUAAAGUAUCGAGCCAAAAAAUUCAGCUGUGUUCGGCUGUUUAUUAACGAGCCAAACACGAGCUGGCUCACGAGCUGGCCAACGACAAUAAAAUAAACAAAAGAUUAAAUAUAUAUGAAAAUAAAUUUUAUAAUCUAUCAUUAGACUUUGAUAUAUUGUUGAAACUUUACAUAUAAUGAGCCUUUUUAUAAUUAAGCUCGCAUUUAUAUUUUUAUUUUUACUAAAAUUAAAUAAUAAAAUAUAUAAUAUAUUAUAUUAUUUAUUUAUUAUAUAAAAAUAUAAACUAAAUAAAUUUAUAAUAUAAAAUAUAUGUAUUCGAGCUGUUAUCGAGCAACACGACGAGCUGACCCCGCUCGUGUUCGGUCGUUUAUUAAACGGUUUUGAAAAUCCAGCUCGUGUUCGGUCGUUUACUAAACGAGGCGAGCCGAUCUCGAGCUCAUUUCGAGCCGAACACGAGUUGGCUCGCGAACAGCGAGCUGGAUUGCCACCCCUAGCUGUUAAUAAAGCAUCUCCCCAAAAGAAAAUGGAAAGAUUUGCUUGUGCCAUCAUGGAUCUAACCAUUUCUAGUAAGGUCCUAUUUCUUCUCUCUGCAACACCAUUUUGUUGCGGAGUUCCAGGAAUGGUCAGUUGCCUUUCAAUGCCCUUUUCAUUACAUAAUUAUUUGAAUUGUUCAGAUAGAUACUCCCUACCCCUAUCAGUUCUCAAAGCUUUAAUCCUUCUAUCUAACUGAUUCUCUACAAGGUUAACAUAACGUUUGAAGCAAUCCAAUGCUUCUGAUUUGUGAGCAAUCAGAUAGAUGUAACCAAAACGGGUGAAGUCAUCUAUAAAAGUAAUGAAAUAUGAUGCACCAUGUCUUGCCCUAACAUUCAUUGGACCACAUAUAUCAGAAUGAAUUAAUUGCAGUGAAUAUUCGGCUCUUGUUCCUUUACCAAAUGGUUUUCUAGUUGUUUUUCCAGCUAGACAGUGUUCACAUCUAGGCAAAUCAAUUGCAGUGAGUGAACCUAACAGACCAUGUUUAGCAAGCCUAUUCAUCCUUUCUUGACCAACAUGUCCUAGUCUAGCAUGCCAAACAUUUGUAUUCACAUUUGUAUUGCUACAAGAAGCGAUUGAUGAAAAACAACUACCAACAUAAUUAUGUAUAUUAUGUUCACAAUCCAAUACAAAGAAACCAUUUAAUAAGUAGCCAGAACCAUAAUAAACAUAGUCAUAAAAUAUGUCCAUAUGAUUGUUGCAGAAAUUUAAACCAUAGCCUAAACCUAAAAGAACAGAUACAGAGACCAAGUUUCGUCGAAUCUCUGGAGCAUAUAGGACAUCAUGUAGGAGUAAGGUUCGGCCACCACGCAACACCAACUUGCACGUGCCUAUCCCUUUUACGUCAACUUUCGCAUUGUUUCCUACAUAUAUCCAUUUAGUUCCAGUUUGGACUCGACGAUACUCUACAAAUGCACCUCGGUCUCCUGCUACAUGAUCUGUAGCUCCUGAGUCUACAAUCCACAAAGGAUAAGAAUCUGUGAGCAACACUGUACUAGAAACAUAAACAGUAUUAAGAAAAAUAGAAUAAAAUGCUACCUUUUUCUGCUCGGUACACUCACGAGCAAAGUGACCCAACUUGCCACAGUUAUAGCACUUCAUCUUACUCUUAUCUUUCUUUUUCUUCCAAAACCGUUUGCCUUUCUGAUUUACUUUGAACUUGUUCUUUUUAGGCCCCUGUCCAAUCUCUACUCCCUUCCCCUUUCUUAUACCGAGAGCCUGAAGCCCUGGGAGAACUGGAUUCAGUCAUAUAAGCAUGUACGAGACCUCUUGUAGCCUCAAGACGCUCAUCUUCCAGUUCCACAUGGCGAGCCACAUCAGCAAAAGUUUUGAUGCUGUCUUGUGAGUUAAAUUAACUUUCAUGUGCUCCCAACUAUCAGGAAGAGAGCGGAUUACUGCUUGAACUUGCUGCUCAUCAGUGAGGGCGUGUCCUGCUGACUUCAAUUCCCUUAUCAUGUUUGACAUCUCUCGUAGAUGUUGUUUGAUGGUAUGAUUAGGGCGUUUCUUAUAAGUAUCAAAUUUGAUGGUCAACUGUCUCAAUUUGAUUAUAGUUGUACCGCCAAAUUUCUCCUUUAGAUGAACCCACAUUGCAUGAGCAGUAGGAAGUUGCUCGCACUCACCAAUGAGAUCAUCAACCAUUGAACUUAUCAGAAUUCCGCGAGCAGAGGAAUCCUUUGGUUUCCAAGCACGAUAAGCUUCUUGAUCUCUUCUAUACUGAGUAGUAUUUCCUUCACCAGGGUCGGUCAUGGUAUGAUAAAUAGUUUCUAAUGCUUGUUGUUCCUCAAGAACAUAUUGAAUCUUAGUUUGCCAGAUAUUGUAAUUAUCUCCAUCCAAUUUCUCACCCUUAUUGAGAUCUGCUAUGAUAUUCUUUGAUGCCAUGGUAUUUCAAAGCUACAUAAAGACAUUGUAAAUUAAAUACUAGCACUUACAAAAAAAAUUAUCUAAAACACCUAUCACUUUAUGCUAUAUAAUGUACUAAGUUAAUCAUGAUAUAAUAUAAGAAAUAGAAUCGAAAGUUCACUAUGUUCCCAAUCAUCUUCUAUAUUCAAAUAUUAUAUUAUCACAAACUUGACGUUCAUCAUAUAGAGAGAUAAGUUCUAGAUAAAAAAAAUUCAAGAUUUCUCCAAAUCUAAGAACUCCCACUCAACUAAACAUUUAUCAAACAAAUGAAGUACUAUCAUCAUCAUCAAUGAAAGACAGUUAUGUCAUGCCAUUUAUAAUUCUAAGUAUUAAAUGAAAUGCAUAUUUUCAUUAACACAAGAAAACACUAUAUAGUGUUGAUUAAAAUGCAUAACAACAAAAAAAUAUCCUCCAUGGAUACAAAUACAAUUCGAACUAACUUAAUUUUCACCGUUAAACACUCUACACCAUGGUUCUGGAACAAUAUCAUAUGAUACUCGUUCCACAAUGUCAAGUGCUGCCUUCUCUAAGAAUAGGCCUCCAUCAGAUCUGCCAAGAGCAGUGCGCCUACCAUUUCGAAGAUUAGGAGAUAGAGCCAAAAUGUUUGUCCUUCUUAUAGCACUUGUAAUGUAAUGACGAUUAUAUGCAUUUCUAAAUCUCGAUACCAGAUCACCAUAAGAUACUAUGAAAUCAUACUUAGAUACCAGAUCACCAUAAGAUACUAUGAAAUCAUACUUAUUUUUAAAUAUAUUUCACCAAGUUUUAGCCCAAUAAUCUGGUAUUGAAUUUCUCAAUGCAAGUGCUCUCUGAAAAUCUUGAAUGAUAUAAUCGUCAUUUUCAAGCACAUUGAACAAGUCGUCUAAAAAUGAUAUAUAUUGUUCCAUGGAGUGUGACGGAUUCAUCUCAUAAGUCAUGAUGGGGCGCAAUAAUCUAUCACCACAUCUUCCCCUCAAGACUCUCUUAGUCUGAAUAGUACGUGCCAUAUCUAACAAAAAAAAUUUAUCAUUCAUGAACAUGCCAUAUCUAACAAACUUUAACAAUCAUUAGCAUGUUAAAUUUUCAAUAUAAAUAUUUUAUCUACAAUAUUAUGGCAUCAAUCAAUACAUUAUGAUGUUAAUUAAAUAAUAUAAAUUAAUUCAUAAUUUGCUAAAACUAUACAUGAGUUUAAAAUAAUUGAACCAUUAUAAAAUACUCCAUUAAAAAAAUAAAAUAACAAAUUGCUCAAUCCAAGAAUUGAACCCUAAACCUCAUGUAUACCAUAAACUUAACCCUUGCUGCCAACAACCAACAAGUCAAGUGUUAGAAUAUUAAAUAUAUACCAACUUUUAUAUAUAUAUACAGUUUCGGACGUACCAUAUUAUUACAAUCCAAUAACUCGUUUAUAUUGGAUUGGAUCUGGAAAAAAAUAUCCAUUAAUAGAAUAUUACGAACCCAUUAAGUCCGUGUUCAAUUCAUCGUACUUUCUUUUCCUGAAACGAAAAAAAAUUGAGCAAUCUACAUAUUAUUAAUUCUCAUUAUAAGAUUGACAAUACAAGUUAAAGAAUUUUUUAAAAAAAUUCUUACGUUAGAGUUAAAUCAUGUAUUCAAUCUCAAGAGAAGUAAUUUAUACAAAUUUCUCAUAUAUAAGAAAAAAUCAUUCAUAACAAGUUCCAUCGUGGAAAUAAUUAAGAGUCAAGGAUUUGGUUUAAACAUGCUCUGAUAUCAAUGAAAGUAAAAUUAAUCUAUGAAAUACCUCAAUUCCGAUUCAAAGAUCGUGAUAAAAUAGGAUCAAAUCAAACCACUCGCUCCAACGGAUCAAAUGCAAGAUCACAAGUUGGAAAUUGCACUAGUUUCCAUAACCCAAAUGUCAAAUCCUCCAAGACGAGAGUAAAUUUUAGGAAUUCAGUGAUUGAGAGAAAAUCUCAUUGGGAGAAGAAGAAGCAAAAAUGUAAGUGUUUUUUUUUUUUUUUUUUUUUUUUUUUUUUUUUUUUUUUUUUUUUUUUUUUUUUUUAACGUUACAUCCCUUCUUUCUCUCUGCACGUUUGUAACUGCUCGUACUGGGUGGUUUCCCAACCAACUAAGGAAACCACCUCUUAAUGGGAUGGGUCGGGUCAGAUUUGCCUAUUAUGGACGACCCGAAACCCGAUUAAAAAACCAACAUAUAUAUAUAUAUAUAUAUAUAUAUAUAUAUAUAGAGUAUGACUACUGUGCUAUUAGGAGCACAGCAGCCCUUGUGCUCCUAAGUUUUUAACCGCCCAUCAAAUUUAAUGGAUGGUUAGUACGAUAUAUAUAUAUAUAUAUAUAUCGUACUUAUUAGAAUAAUAAAUUGGAUCUUCCAACUAUAACAAAUAAUAAAGUUUGAUACGUCAUAAUUUCUUAUUUACAAACAUUAUAAUUUGAUUUUUUUUUAUUUUUAAACAGGGCUAGACCCUAUUUAAAGGAAUUUUAUUAUUUAUUACCUACCGCCAUGCUCUUUUAAUUCAUGAGCAGUGCCUGCUAGGGCUGGCAAACGAGCGAGCCGGCUCGCGUUCGACUCGUGUUCGGCUCGAUAUUCGGCUCGCUCGAGCUCGACUCGAAAUUAAAUGAGCCGAGCUUGAACAAAAUAAAAGGCUCGAAAUUCAUUUCAAGCCGAGCUUGAGUAUUACUCGGCUCGUUCGAAUUAGGCUCGAAAAGCUCGAAAAGCUCGAAUAUAUAUAUAUAUAUAUAUAUUAGAUUCUAGUUAGGACUGGACUACUAUGCCUAGCAUAAUUUCAUUGUUGCCUACCAUGUUUUUUUAGCUUUGGAUCAUCUUUUCAUUAUUUCUAACUAAUCGGAUUAAAAUCGUAUAACCCCAGUGGGAACCACUCAAUCCCUAGGAGGCACUUGAAUUUAACAAUAUAUAUUCUGACCAUACAAUUUUUUCAUUCAAGGAUUUAAAAACUUGAUAGCAAAAGGCAUUUUCUAUUAUUAGUAUUCCAGCUAAUCUAAAUAUAUAUAUAUUAUAUCUAUAUUAUAUAUUAUAUAAUAUAUUAUAUAUAUAUACAUAAUAUAAAAUAGAAUAUAAAUAAAUAAAAAUUUAACUUUGGGCCAUUAUUGUUGGUCAUAAAAAACCCAAAAAAGUAACACCGAUAAGCAAAAAUUGAGCCCAUUUUAAUUUACAUAACAACCUCGUCUUUAGACUUUCACUGUUGCAAAAUUACCCUAAAAUAUUGAUAAAUUCAAUUCCCAAAUCCCUAAUUCUCCCCCCACUUCUCUCUUCUCUCUCGUUUCUUCUGCUCUUCGACUCUCAAACCAAAAAGUCAGAAGCAGUCACCCUAGCUCACAUUUCUUGCAAUUAUUUUGUAUUUUGAACUAUUGGACAUAUUAUAUCAAAUUGUAGGUAAUGUUCUAUAAAAAUUAAACUAUUGAUUAUAUAAUGUCGAGAAUUUCAAUCGGCUCGUUUAGAACUCGAGCUCGGCUCGACUCGAAAUUAGGCUCGCUCGAGCUCAGCUCGAAUUAAUUUCAAGCCGAGCUUGAGCCUAGAUUUAGGCUCGAAAUUAAUUUCAAGCCGAAUUUGAGCUGACAUAAGCUCGCUCGAGCUCGGCUCGUUUCCACCCCUAGUGCCUGCUGGCGCUGCCAUGGGCUCUCUCAAGUCAUGACUCGGAGGCCCGUGCCAUGUUGGCCUCUCCAAAUCUUUGCGCAAUGGACCAAGAGAAUUCUAAAAGACAAUUCAACAAACACUCAGGUAGACUGUAAUAAACUACUAGCGAACGGACCAAUUCUGUUAAACUAAAUAAUAAAUAAAUUAAAAAAUAAAAAAAUAAAAAAAAUCAAAGAAUAAAAGAGAAUAUAAAUAAAAAAAUUGAAGAAGAAGCUGAAUUAAAAAAUAAAAAUAUAAGGAGAAUAAAAAUAAAAGAUUAUAAGAAUAAUAAAUUAUAUUUAUAGCAACAGUAAAAUUUUUGGAUUAAAAUACCACAUGCAUUAUAGUUCGAGAUAGAAAUUAUAAUUAAUUAAAGUUUGAAAAUUAAAGCGUCACAUGCUUAAUAGUUUGAGCAAAAAAAAGAAUAUGCAUGAAAAUUUGAAGACUAAAAUGUCGCACUUCUUAUAGUUUGGAAUCAAAAGUAUACUUUAUCUUUUUUAUAUUUUAAUUUUAUUACGAAUGAAGACAAAACUGUCCAUCGAUCAAUUUUGUUUAAUUAGUAAUUUCAUUCCAUGAACGAAUAUGUUAAACUAUCUAAUAAAUUUUAAAAUAUCUUAUUAUUAUUAUUAAAUUAAAAGUCAAUCAAUCAUAUUUUAGAUAUUUUAAAAAAUUCUAAGUGUGAAAUUAAUCGCUCACCACACUAUAAAUAUGAUAUUAAAUUAAUUUUGAUAUUAAAAUCAAAAUAAAAUUAUAUAAAAUUUUUCUAAAUUAUGAAUUAUUUUGAAUCAGCUAUUCAAUCUUUCAAGAUUUUAUUUUUAUUAUCCAACGUGUCUACAUGUCAUCAAAGAAACUUUUAUUUCAAAAUUUAAAUACGUCGUUUAGUUUUACAUAUUUAAUUAAUAUACUUUAUAUAAUUCUUAUGACUAAAUUUAUUAAAAUAGGUAUUAAUUUAAUCUUCUUCAAUCUCUCUUUUAUUUUUAUUAUACAAUUUAUAUCUGAAUGAUUAAUAUUAUAAAAAUUAAAUUUUAUAUUUAAUAUAUGUAAUCUAAACUAUUUAAAAAUUAUCUAUAAAAAUUUAUAUAUUUUAAAUUUUUAUAAUAAGAGAAAAAAUUAGAUUGAAUAAAAAAAAAUAAAAUCUCAAUUUUCUCAAUUCAAAAAAGUAGAGAGAAAACAAAAUAAAAAUAAAAAAAAUUUAAAAAAUGGGCCACCACACCCUCCCGGCCCCUCUCCCACCUGCCUGGCCCCACACCCAUCUUCGCCGCCUUCGCUCUCGCACCCGCACCACUUCUCUGCCACGUGUUCGAAAGGACUGAAGAUUCAUUAUAUAGAUAAAUAGAUUGAUAGAUAUAGAUAAAUAGAUAGAUAAAUAUAUACACAAUUGUCACAUAAUUACGUGGAAAACCACCUCGGUGGGAGGGAGAAAAAACAACGGGUCAAACUCCCCAGAUGCUUCACGAUUGAAAUAAUGGGAGUACAAUGCUUUCUUCAUUAGUCUCACUAGAGGAUCAUCUGCAUUAAGAGAUCAAUCUCUCUUCGUUUAUAUGCAUCACUUAUAAUUAGAUUGGUCAAAAUACUCUCACCAAAUGAGGUGGAAAAACCAAAGAAAAAAGAAUGAGAUUAUGAUAGAAAACACACAACUCUCUUGACCAUUUCCUUCACUCCAGUGACACACACCAAAUCUUCCAUAUGAAGGGAUGCACCGAGAAGAGAGUUGGAAGAAGAGAGCACCGAAAUUUUUCUCAACCUCUUAUCCCAGUAGAGACAAGUUAUCCCAUCCACGCUAAUUAGUAUAGCUUUACUAAGCCCCUACCAGAAAAGGCCCAAAUCUCACUUAAAUUUAAGUGAGCUAAUCUCCUCAUAGUGAUAAGCAUAACCUAUUUGGGCCAAUACUCAGUUCGGCAUGGCAGGGUACUUUUGUUCUUAUUUUUUUUUGUUUUUAGGUAAAAAUGUACAAAACUUAUAGAAAUUAUAAACUAUUUUAAAUUAGUGAUUCAAUUUUUUAAAACUUUGAUUUGACUACCUAACAAGUCAAUUUGUUUGAUUUGAGUCAAUCAAUAACACUUCGAUAUCAAAAUUUGAAUGCUUUAUGUUAUAUUUGGUUUAGAUUUGUAGUUAUCUAAUUCUGUGGAUAAAUCCUAAUCUAAUUGGGAUUAGAUAUUAUUUAGAUAGGAGAGGACGGGUGGCGCUGUAAUGUUUCGAAGUUUCUCACGACUAGGGGUUGUGUUUUCGUUUCGUCAUUACUCUUGGUUGUAAUCCUCAAAGAAUAGAAAGGGACCUGAUAUCCUAGUUUGUUAAAAUCGGAUACGGCGAAAAAUAAGAUCAGAAAAUAAGUUAAUGCAAGAAAAGAAAAUAGAUAAGGAAAGAAAUCAUCCGAUUUAUUUACGGUGGUUCGCCACGGCCUAUCGUCCACGUGGCGAAGACGGAGCAAAUUUACUUUAUUAAUGUCUAAAAGGCGGAGUAUCAAGAAUAUCACCCGAAAGAUCGAAAACCAAAAGUAAAUAUAUAUGUUUCGACGCGCGUUACGCAUAUGGCACCGUUUCCUAGCUACGUUUUCCGGUAUCAAUUUAUUUUUAUCUUUGGUUCGUCUCACCUUUUAGAAACGAGGAUUGUACGGUCACUUGGCUUUUGAAUUUUUGUUUGUUGUUCCACCUGGUAUUUCUGUACCAUCACAACUUCACUUUAAUUAAUUAGAUGCAAUCAACUCCUGUCCCAAACUAGAAAGCAAGCAACGCUCACCACUUAUUAAAAAUCAAGCAUUGCAAAUUAACCGCCGGCUUCUUUGCAUAAAAUCAGAACCUCUUAUAUGCAAGCCUGAAUAUUGAGUCGCAGGCUAAAACAAAGUAGCUAUGUAUAUAAGAAAUCAUAUCUCCCAACUGAGAGAGAGAGUCUAAUUCUCAUAUUCAAUUAAUAUAUUAUACUACCAAUUAUAGAUCACAUAUAUGCAAAUUAUAAAUNNNNNNNNNNNNNNNNNNNNNNNNNNNNNNNNNNNNNNNNNNNNNNNNNNNNNNNNNNNNNNNNNNNNNNNNNNNNNNNNNNNNNNNNNNNNNNNNNNNNGGGGGAGAGAGAGAACAGAGGGAGAGAGAGAGAGAGAGAGCAGACAGAGAGAGAGAGAGGCCCCUCUCUCUCCCCCACGUGCCCUCAACCCGCACCCGGCGGGUGCGGGCCGCGCCGGGGGGUUCCCGGCCCGCGGCCCCCGCGCGCGCCUUUCCUCCCUCCUCUUCCUCUUUACCACUCCCUCCUCCCCCACUGCUCUCUCCCUCUCUUUCCCCCCCCACCCCCCUCUCCCCUCUCUUCCCUCUUUUACUCCCCCCGCCAUCUCUCUCUCUCUCUCUCUCUCUCUCUCUCCCUCUCCCCAGCGGGCGGCAGCGGGAGGCGAAGGCGGAGGCGCGGGCGGGCAGCAGUGGGACGCGGAGCCGCGGGGGGCAGCAGCAGGCCUGGCGCGCUGGCGCGGGCCAGGCAGCGGGGCGGGCGCGCGGGCGCGCACCGACGGGAGGGGGGGAGAGGGUGGGGAAAGGGAGAGAUGGGAAGAGAGAGAGAGGAAGAGAGAGAAAGAGAGAGAGACAAGGAGUCAGAGGAGAAAGAGAAAGAGAGAGGGAGAGAGAGAAUUUUACAACUUUAAAUUUUAAAUUUUAUAUAUAAAUUUUAAAUUUUAGAUUUUAAAUUUUAAAUUUAAUCUAUAUACAUAUCUAAUUUUAUUUAUAAAUAUAUAUUUAUUUACUAUAUAUAAUUUUUAUAUUUAAUUUUUUUGUGUUUAAAAUUUUAAAUUAGAUUUAAAAAUUAAAACAUUAAAAAUAUUAUUUAAAAUAUUUUAAAAAUUAUGUAAAUUUUUCGCCGCGAAGCGCGGGCCUCCACUAGUAGGGAAAGAGAUAGAGUGGAGAUUAGUAGAAGCGACAGAGAAAUGAAGUUAGAGGAAGAAGGAAAGAGUUUAGAUUUAGAGAGAGAUGAGGUUAGAGAGUAAAAAAGAAUAGCAGGUGGUGGACAUCUCAGCAAAUGACUGGUGGGUGGGGAGGGAGAAAAAGAGUGGAUUGGAUUAGAAAUUUUAUAAUUAUUUCAAUCCAUUAUUAUGAGAAUACCUACCCUCUCUUAAAAAAAAAAGAUUAUUACUAUAGGAUAAAUUUUAUUUCCAAAUGAACCCAACACUAAUAACAUUACUUGAUGUAAUUAGCCAAACACCAUAAUAUUUUCUUUAGACUUGUUGGAUUAUAAGGAACCAGAAAAAGAUAAUGUGAAUGAAACAAACCCUUAGGCUGCGUUUGGCUCGGGAACAAGGGGAGGAAUAAGUCCUUGUUCCCUUUUUUCCUGGAACAAGUUUGUUUCCGGAUGAGAACAGGGUUAAUUAAAGUCUAAAUUUAAUUUUAAUGACAGUAAAUCUUUAAUUAAUCUAAUUAAUAUAUUUAAAUUAUUAUUUAUUACUUAAAUAAUAAAAAUAAAUAAAUAAUUUAUUAUUUAUUAUUAAUUAUUAUUAAUUAGAUAAUUAUUAUUAUUAAUUUAUUAUUUAUAAUUAAUUAUUAAUAAUUUUUUAUAAUUAUUAUUAUUUAUUAAUAACUAUUAUUAUUAAUAAUUAGAUAAUCGAUAUUAUUAUUAAUUUAUUAUUUAUAAUUAUUUAUUAAUAAUUAUUAUUUAAUAAUAAUUAUUAUUAAUAAUUAUUAUUAUUUACAAUUAAUUAUUAAUAAUUUAUUUAUUAUUUAUUUUUAAGUAAUAUUUUGAUAUUAACUAAUUAGAUAAUAUAAUUUUAAUUUCAAAUUAUAACUCUUAUUCAUUUUGUUCUAAUCUAACCAUCCAAAUACUAUCUAUCUUAUUCCUAGGAACAAUCAAAUUUUCAUCCAAACGCAAAAUUGGUCUAGUUCCUACUUAUAUCUGAACUUGUACAUAUCCCUAGAACAAACAAUUCUUAAUUAUACCCGAACCAAACGCAGCCUUAAUAUAUUAUAUCCUAAAAAAAAACUACUUCACGGUAAAAGUGUACAAAGGCUUAUGAAACUUUAUCGCUUUGGCAAACGGGCACUUUUAAUUUGACCAAUUAGAUCCCUUAAAUUUUUUAAAUAGUUCAAUAGCUCUCUCUCUCCUCAAUCGAAGUUACUAAUUAUAUAAUUGUUUUAAUCAUUUGUAUUGUUUGGUUGGGGAAUUCCGGGGGAGGGGGGAGUGGGGGGACAAAUUAAGGGAGGACUGUUGUUCCCACCCUUUAACGGGUUAUCAACCCAGCACACCCCGAGGGCAUUCUACUGUUCCUACUCCAAAUCCCCUCUUUUUCCCGAGCUCCUCCGAAAACCUUGCUACUGUUCCUCUUCGCCGACACCAACAGGAAGCCUUUAUCGGUGAUUUUCUUUCUCCUCCUCGCUUCGACUGAACCCUAUAGCGUACGGAUCUCGCAGAUCUUGCUAGAUUCGAGAGGUUUCCCUCUAUUCUUGCGUUGGUCUCGCCUAUUCCUCUUCGUGCCUUAUCCAUCGUCGCUAGCUUACCACCAUUCACAGUCUUUCCCUGGAAUAGCCCUAAUCCCCACCCCCGAGCACAUUUCCGCUAUUUCUACGCAUUUACCCAUCUUCUUCAGGACUGUUGUUCCUACCAUUUACAGUCUUCAGGACUGUUAUUCCCCAAUCCUCAGGGGGGGAGACAGAUUAAGGGAGGACUGUUGUUCCCACCCCUUAACGGGUUAUCAACCCAGCACACCCCGAGGGCAUUCUACUGUUCCUACUCCAAAUCCCCUCUUUUUCCCGAGCUCCUCCGAAAACCUUGCUACUGUUCCUCUUCGCCGACACCAACAGGAAGCCUUUAUCGGUGAUUUUCUUUCUCCUCCUCGCUUCGACUGAACCCUAUAGCGUACGGAUCUCGCAGAUCUUGCUAGAUUCGAGAGGUUUCCCUCUAUUCUUGCGUUGGUCUCGCCUAUUCCUCUUCGUGCCUUAUCCAUCGUCGCUAGCUUACCACCAUUCACAAUCUUUCCCUGGAAUAGCCCCAAUCCCCACCCCCGAGCACAUUUCCGCUAUUUCUACGCAUUUACCCAUCUUCUUCAGGAAGCUCCCACGAAAACUAGCUAUUGUUUCUCCUCGCCGCCUGCUACAGGGGGCCUUCACCGGCGAUUUCCUACCUCCUCCUCGCUUCGGCUGAACACUAGCGUACAGAUCUAACAGAUCCUACUAGACCCGAGAGGUUUCCCUUUGUUUUUGCGUGUUCUCUUGGUCUUGCCUAUUCCUCUCCGCACCUUGUCCGUCGUCGCUAGGCCAACUCCAUGCUGCCAUCAUUCACAGUUGUCGGCUUUAAUCUCGGUCCUUUUGUUGGUUAGUCAACGGAUUUACCACACCUAGCUUCGUUUACAGAGGUUGUCUUGUAGGUGUGGGUUUUUUCUUGUAAUCUCACCUAUUCCGCUUCGUGCUACCUCUGCCGUUGCCAGAUAGGCUUUGUGUCGCCAUUAUUGGCUAUCUCGACCUCCGAUCUUGGUCCUUUUGCUAUAACUGUGGCUAAAUUUUAUCUACCUUUUCUAUCACCUUUGUAAUGGCAAAAUCCACUUGGAACACUUUAUUGAGUUCAAAACUAUAUUGUAGUUGGAAUCAUGCAUUUGGCAACAUAAAAAGCAUUUGAUCUACAAGAUAUAGAGGUGGCAAAUACAUGAGCAAAGAGAAAUAUGUAUGAUAUAGCGAUAGAUUUACAUAUGCCAAGUAUACAUCUUUUUCAAAUUUGUGAAUUUUAUAUCUAAUACACACGUCAGAAUGACUGCAUAGCAUAGAAAAAUUUCGUCAUUGCAACCACGACUAUCAAUGAGAAAUCGAACGUUGCUGGAACAAAAUUUAUGUGAACUCGAUGCCGGUGAUGAUGACGGUUUCUAUUAAUGUUUGAAGGAUGGCAUAGAUUGCAAAAUUUGUGCAACCCCACGUUAAUUGGAAACCAUAUGAGCCAUACUACUGACGCCACUACAUUUCGGCUCUACGACCAAGUAAUUUGAGAAGAAAUUACCUCAGCCUACUUCGAACUGUAAGAUUUCAUAUUGAAUAUUGGUCCCAUCAUGUUUAAUUUCCUUUGUGGGCUAUAUGGGACACCAUGAUUUUAUAUAUAUUUCAACAAUAUUGUAUUACUGCUUGACGUUUAUUACUUUCGGUAUCCUUCAAGUGGAGUUAUCUUUGCAUUUAUGAUUGGUUGUAAGAACAAUGUCCUAAGGAUGAUCUAUAUUUGUUAAUUUCGGUUAAGUAUUGUGACCCAAUUUUUCAUGCAUGUAUGUUGUUUAUUAAUACAGCCAUGUGAAUGUCGGCAUGUGUUGUUUAUUAAUACAUAAGUGGAUGAACUAUUUGAGAUGCAUAUGCAUUCAGUUGUAUUAUGCUUUGUAACACUCUCUCUAUUUUCUAAUACUCAUUUAUGGCAAUGUAUUAAUGUGUCCUCAAGUAUUUGUUCUUGAUGACAUUAGGAUUUUUUUGCAACAGUGAUGGGUGAGUUAGUAUAUCGAUCUGUACUUUCCUCGGCAAUCAUAGCCAAUAUUAUGACAAUAUUAGAUAAAGAUGAUGAUUAUUGGGAUCAAUUAUUUGUGUUGCUACGUGAGCAAGGAAACUUGACAUUUACAAAUUCAUUGAACAAGCAACAAUGUCGAACUCGUCCCUUUACUGGACAUCAAAUGCUCCGUGAUAUUUUGAAUGGUCAUCCUAAGUGAGGAUACCAUCACUUUUUGUAUGAGUACUUCUAUAUUUAUUACACUCCACGAUGAGUUAGUCGGGAGGGGGUUGAUAUGUAGCACAAGAAAUACGACUGCUGACGAACAGUUAGUAAUUUUUCUAUUUUGCGUAGGCCAUGGUGUGGUAAAUAGAAUUUCACGGAAACAUUCCAACAUUCCAGAGAAACAAUUAGUAGACAUUUUAACAACGUUCUAUGAUGCAUUGUGAUGCUGAAAGAUGACUACAUAAUAUUACCGCCAGGUAAUGCUGCCGUGCAUCCAACGAUUAGGGAUAAUUCAAAUUUUCAAUUUUUUAAGGUAAGCUAUCAUACUUAUAUGUAUAAUAACAUUGGGUUAUAAAAUAUUGGUUACUAAUUUUUUAACUAUGUUUUUCGUUGAGUUGUAGAAUGCUAUUAGUGUGGUUGGUCGAGGGAUCACAUAUUCCAGUGAUGGUCCGAAGGAGCAAGCAAGCACGAUUUCCCUGUCGCCAAGGGUUUACAUCCCAAAAUAUGAUGGCGGCCAUCUCAUUUGAUCAUAAUUUUUUAUUUGUAUGCACAUAUUGGGAAGGAUUUGCUACAGAUAUGAGAGUACUUCGAUGGGCGUGCGAAAUUGGUGGUUUCAUUGUUCCCGAAGGUCAUAUCUAAACUUUUAUUCCUUAUAAUAUAUGUUUGAAAUUUUACUGAUCAUAGUGAAUUAUUUAACAAGUUGUAAUCCACAAUAAUUGAAGGUAAAUAUUACUUAGCAUAUUUGGGAUACGCAAAAACAGAUAGAUUUCUUGCGCCCCAUAGAGAAGAAUGUUACCAUAUUAGUCAAUUUGAUACUAACAUGCAGGCCCGCGUGCAUCGAAAUUCACGAGAUCUGUAUAACCAUCGGCAUGUUGUGUGAUACAUAACUUUAUUCGUCAAUACUAGGCCAAUGAUAGCUUUUUUGCGGACAAGGUUGAUGCACAGCUGCAGAAGAAGAAGAUAAAGAUGCUAGUUAUUUGGGAGGAAACGAUGACUCACGGCGUGGCGAGGAUCUUCGUGCUAAUAUUACUAACCAAUUAUGGAACAGUAGAACUUAGCUUGCUAUGCAGUUUGAUUGUAUUGAUAUUAGGUAGAUGGGAUUUGGAGCAAAUAAAGAUGAACUUCUCUGUUAGCAAUGUGGUUUAAUUUUUACGUACUUUACCUUUUGUUUCCUCGGUUCAGUUAGAACAAUUCAAGGUUAUGUUUAUAUUUGUACCUUCACUUGUAUGCAUCUAUUGUUAUUUUUUGAACAUAAUGUUUGUAGAUAUAAUUUUGCUUGAUUCGAAAUGUUGUUAGUUCGUAACUAUUAUUGUUGUAUAUGGAUUAUCUGUUUUGUUUUCGAUGUAUAUAAAUGUCGGUAUGCUCUCAUAUAGUAGGUACUUAUUUGUAAAAGAACCGAUUUGUGUUCUGUGAGUGCUGAACUAAUUUUAUAAUUGAGUGAAAUGAAUUUGUACUAUGCAUUAUAUUAUUAUUUUAAAGCUAAUUGUUCUUGGAUUGUUUAUAUUGUCAUGUUUACAAACUUGGGACAACUACUAUUACUGACAAAUUGGUAACAGAAACUCCAGGGAGUACAACAUCCAAUUCUAACCGCCUCAUCUCCUCUAACAAUGGCACCUGGCUAGUAAUUAUCAUACUCAAAUUUUACACUGAUUUGCGACUUAACGCAUCUACCACUACAUUAGCCUUACUAGAAUGAUAAAGUAUUGUUACAUCAUAAUCUUUCAGUAAUUCUAACCACCAGCAUUUGUCUCAAAUUCAAUUCUUUUUGAGUAAAUAAAUACUUGAGGCUUUUAUAAUCAGUGUAGAUUUUACAAUGUUCUCCAUAAAGAUAGUGGCGCCAAAGUUUUAGUGCAAGAAUCACGGCAGCUAACUCCAAAUCAUGAGUAGAAUAAUUUUUCUCAUAUUCUUUCAACUGUCUGGAAGAAUAAGUAAUUACCCUAUCAUUAUGCAUCAAUACACAACCUAAUUCACUUCGUGAUGCAUCACUAUAAAUAACAAAUUCCUUACCCAUAACAGGAAGGGAAAGGAUAUGAGUUGAUGUCAGUAUAUUUUCAAUUCUUCAAACUUUGGCAAUCCUCACUCCAAAUGUAUUUAAUUCCUUUUUGAGUAAGUUGAGUGAGGGGCCAGAAAAGCUUUGUAAAACCUUCUACAAACCGACAAUAAUAACCCACUAGCCCCAGAAAACUCCGCACCUCAAAAACACUCAUCGGUCUAGGCCAAUCUCGAAUUGCUUCAACUUUCUUUGGAUCAACUGCAAUCCUCUCAGCUGAAAUCACAUGCCCAAGAAAAGUAAUUUUCCGUAACCAGAAGUCAUACUUCUUAAGUUUAGCAUAAAGUUUAUUUUUCCUUAAAAUCUGUAACACAGUCCUCAAAUGCUCCUCAUGUUCAGCUACAUUUUAGAAAUAUAUUAAGAUAUCAUCAAUAAACACCACCACAAACCUAUCAAAAAACGGCUGGAACACCCGCUUCAUCAUAUCUAUAAAUGCGGUUGGAGCAUUUGUGAAUCCAAAUGGUAUUACCGUAAAUUCAUAAUGCCCAUAUCGUGUUCUAAAUGUCAUUUUGGAAAUGUUCUCAAGUUUAAUCUUCAAUUGAUGGUAUCCUAACUGCAAAUCUAUCUUGGAGUACACACAAGAUUCUUGCAAUUGAUCAAACAAAUCAUCAAUGCACGACAAUGAAUACUUAUUCUUAAUGAUCACCUUAAUCAAUUCUCGAUAAUCUACAUAUAAUUUUAGUGAUCCAUCUUUUUUCUUUACAAAUAGCAAUAGCGCUCCCCAAGAUGACACAUUAGGUUGAAUAAAUCUUUUCUCCAACAAAUCUUGCAGUUGUGCUUUCAAUUCCUGCAACUCUGCUAGAGCCAUCCUAUAAGGUACCUUUGAGAUUGGUACAGUUUCUGAGACUACGUCAAUUAAAAACUCUAUUUCCUAUCCGGCAGCAUACUAGACAACUCAGGAGAAAACACAUAUGAAAACUCUCGAAGUACAAGAAUGUCCUCGAGUUUUGGUAAUGCCAUAGAGACUUCGACUACUACUGCUAAAAAGGCUACACAUUCAUGAUUCAUCAACUGUUUUGCCUUUGAUGUAGAGAUCAUCGUGGCAAACAAAGUACUUUGACAACCUUUGUACACAUACUCUUCCUGACCUAGCUCGUGAAAUAUCAGUGUCCUAUUUCUAUAAUUAAUCAUUGCAUAAUAGCAAGCCAACCAAUUCAUCCCUAAUAUAAUAUCAAAGUCCUGCAACUAUCUCAAGACCAAUUGGUCUACAGGCAUAAUGCACUAUCCUAAUUGCACCGGAUACGACAUACAACACUCUCCCACAGGCAACGUAUGAUUAGGAAUAUUGUGAGACCCCAGAUAGUCCUAUAUUUAAGAUAUAAUAGGGCUAAAACUCUUAACCCCGCUUAAGCAUUUUGGAUGGUGGAUAGGCUCAAGAGGUUAAGAGAGUUACGCCUGCUAGGAUGGGAGCAAUCCUAGGAUAGGUGACCCCUUGGAAAGUCGGGGCAUCACAGUUGGUAUUAGAGCCAAUUACUAGCCGAAAGUGUAAGAUGAGUUCGGCUGAGCCAAGAUUGUACAGCGGGGAGAGCGAGGCUCUCAUGCUAUUGACUAUUGUGGGUGGAGCGUGGCUCACUACAAGGUCGGUUUAGGCUAGCGAGACGAGUCUCAAAUCGCUUGGUACUUAUGAGUCUGAGUUUGACAAAGACGUUAGGGCUUAAAAGGAGAAGAAUGUGAGACCCUAGGUAGUUUUAUAUAUAAAAUAUAAUAGGGCUAAAAUUCUUGACCCGGCUUAAGUAUUUUGGGCCGUGGCUAGGCCCAAGAGAUUAAGAGAGUUAAGCGUGUUAGGACCGGAGUAGUCCUGGGAUGGGUGACCCCCUGGGAAGUCGGGGUGUCACAAAUAUGCACCUCAUGAACAUGCUAUAAUAUCAUUAUCUCUAAUCCAUGCAGUAAUGUGAAUGCUCGACUAAUAAAAGAAUGAGAUGCACUAAUAUCAAAUAACGCUCGAGCUCUAAUGUCUCUAAUCAAAAUAAUACUUGUAACCACCCUGUUGGCUAUUGAUGCAUCCUCCACCUGUGCAGCAUAGACAUGCCCACUCGACGUCUGGGACUGCCUCUCAGUCGAGCAUAAGGCUGAAGCUUGAUCGGCAGGAACAUAUGCUGGUAAGACUCCUGAUUUUUGUCUCAGGGUAGAAGGGGAAGAAGCUAGCGAUGGGGCUGGGGUGGUACCACGAGGACACGCUGCCCAAACAUGCCCUACCUGCCCAUAACGAAAAUAUCUGCCGGCUCGCUGAGCACACAUACGAGGUAAAUGUGGCCCACCACAAAUCGCAUGUCUCUCGUCGCCGCUGCUGCUGCUGUGGUCCCCCAGACCUCUAUCCCGCAAAGGACUCACGACCCUGAAAGCUAGAUCGUGAAUACUUUGGCAGUCUCCUCGAACUAGACUGCUCCCCACUACACUUUACUAGUCUCUUCUUCUUCUUGUCCUUUUCCCAUAUCUCUAUUUACUCCUUCAUUCCUGCCGCACCCCUCUCAACCCAUAAAACCAUCUCAAUCACCUCAUCCAAAGUUCGAAAAUGUUGCGGCUGUAGAAACUGAUAAAUCUCUGAUCGUAGUCCCCUCUCAAUUAAAUAUGCCUUACACUGCUCGUCUCUUACUGCAGAGGGUACACAGUUUAGAACUUGAACAAACUCCCUUACAUACUCCUGUACAGAUCGAUCUUCCUGUCUCAUCCUCUUCAGAUCAUUUUCAAACUUUUUCUUCACACUAUUAGGAAAAUAGGCCCUAUAUAACAUCCCUCGAAACUCCUCCCAAGUCAGAUUCUCAAACCUAUCUGUACGUGUCCUUAACCAUGAAGAAUGAGCAUCUCCCUCAAGACAAUGUACUACCAAGUGUACUCUAUCCCUCUCUGGAAUGUAUAGAUCCUCAAGAAGCUUUUCCAAAGCUCUUACCCAAGCCUCCACUACCCGCGACUCUACACUCAGACCAUUGAAUCUAGGCGGAUCAAAUUUUCUAAACUCAGCCAACCUCGCACGUGCCCUCUCUUGCUCUACCUUUGACAUCACCUGUCUUGUGAGACCUUAGAUAGUCCUAUAUAUAAGAUAUAAUAGAACUAAAACUCUUAACCGGACUUAAGCAUUUUGGGCGGUGGCUAGGCCCAAAAGGUUAAGAGAGUUAAACAUGCUAGGACGGGAGUAGUCCUAGGAUGGGUGACCCUCUAGAAAGUUGGGACGUCACAGUUGAUAUCAGAGUAAAUUACCAGCUGGAAGUGUGAGAUAAGUCUCGACUGAGCUAGGAUUAUACAGCGGGGAGAGCAAGGCUCUUAUGCUGUUGAUUGUUGUGGAUGGAGCGUAGCUCACCAUAAGGUCGGUUUAGGCUAGCAAGACGAGUCUCACAUCGCUUGGUACUUAUGAGUUUGAGCCCGACGAGAACCUUAGAGCUUAAGGGAGGAAAAUGUGAGACCCCAGAUAGUCCUAUAUAUAAGAUAUAAUAUAAUUAAGACUCUUAACCCGGCUUAAGCAUUUUGGGCGAUACUAGGUCCAAGAGGUUAAAAGAGUUAAGUGUGCUAGGACAGGAGUAGUCCUAGGAUGGGUGACCCCCUGAGAAGUUGGGGCAUCACAUGUCUGUCCUCAUUUCUCACCGCAGUUGGUCUCAGCCUCUCCAUAACAAUCUCUACUAGGGGUACCACUACUCUAGAAACAUCUACCGGAACACCCAAUGAUGGAGCAUCUUCUACUGGCCUCUGUUGUGUAGUACUAACAUGCUGUGCUAACAACUCACAUAACCUUCCCAUCAUCCCUGGCAUCCCAGUCAUCUGCUCUCGAAGCUCAUGUAUCUCACUAGAACCACUCUGUCCUAGGGCAGAUCCUUUACGUGAUUGUGAUCACCGCUCCAUCCUGAUCACCUAACAUCAAAACACAGAUUAGUUACACUAAGUCUCGCAACUCGACCCAAUUAAAUAAAAGUCUAGAAGAGCAUCCCUUUUCCUCUGCGAUAUUAUGUUGUCUGCAGCCAACAUAAUCAUUCAGAAGGAAAAAACUCAUUCUUUAAUCACUCUUCAAUUCUCUCUGAAGAGGGUGUAGACUUCAAUAUUUUGACUCUCGUAAGUAAUCACGUCUCUCUCGCCCUAUAUUCUGGGGGUCUGUCCGGCCUAAAGUUUUCUAUGCCAAAUAUCCUAAACUCUGAUACCAACUUAAUCCGUCACGCCAUGAAUUACACUGGAAGCCCUAGUUACGUCAACAGACCAUGCGCAUGCAUAAGGAUACAUCUUAUACAUACAAAGUGUCAGCAAAACUUGUCUGACAAAAUUAACUAAAAUCUAACAACAAUAGGUGUCAAAGGAAAAUAAAAAUUAUAUACUACAACAAAACUGUAAUGAUGUACAAUCAUCACCACAUCAGUCCUCAAAAUGGUACAACAUCUCUGACUAUUCCAAAUCUCAAAAUACUGUACAGGUUGCUAUAUACACUAAUAGGUGGUCCAACUAUACACAAAAAUGGUAAGAGAUGCUAACUAUCCGUGAUCUUCGUAUCUCGACCAGUCGCUGGCACUGAAAACUCUAAAAUAAAAUAUUAAUAAAGAGGGUAUAAGAACUACAAUCAAUAGUUUCCAGUGGGUAGGGUCGACAACGCCGACGGUCUACACUAUUAGGUCCAUAUGAGGCAAAAAUAGUAAAUUACUGAGCAGUGUAAAUAAACAAGUAUUAAUAUGAAUAAUUGCUGAGAGUAACUACUACUAUCAUAUCUCUACAAUAGAACUGAAAUCUGCAAUUCGUAUAUGUCAUGUAUCAAUUAGUUACUGAAUAAAAUAUUUCAAUACGACCCAAUCAUAGUGACCGACUCAACAGUCAGGUCUAGCCUGCGCUGCCUCAUGUCCAGCACCUACCUACAGUGGUCCGCUACCACGCAGGCUACUGUCUGGCCCAUGCCAUAAGAAUGUCUCAUAGCCCAACCUCCGGAGUGGCACUCGCGGGGCGCUACUCCAACCGAGUAUAGGAUUAUUGUCAAACUCAACAUAGCAUGCAGGCUGUGGUCAAAUGCGAUGAUCAAAUAGAUCCUGAUAAUACUGUCAUAGCGUCCAAAAAAUAGUGAUAGUCCCACACUAUUUGUAGCUGUUUAAUGACCUUUAGAAAAAUAUCAUAUAUAUAUAUAUAUAUAUAUAUAUAUAUAUAACGGGCGGACUGAGGAAUGCUUAUGGAAGCACGGAGGGCUCCUGUGCUUCCCACUUGUUAAUUCGACUGUUCUGGAUUUCGAAUCGACGAUCGCAUACGUUAGAACUUAGAUCUAGAGUAUUUGAAGUAUCUAGAAAAUAAAUCUUUGCAUUUUUUAAAUAUUUGCUAGUAGAUCGAAGUGGCUCAAAAUCAAAACGGCUGAGAAAAUAAAAUCUUUUACAAAUAUGAUGAUAUGACAAUUAAAAUUUUAGAUCAAAACGUUAAUUGAUCUUGUUUAAUAUGGUAUUUCAUGUGAUUUGGAUAUACAUCGUACACCGAGUUAAAUUGCAACCGGCUCACACGGCCAUUAAAAUAAUUGAUUUGCACCCUUCGAUCACUAGGCAAUGAUUAUCGAAAAAGUCACAAAUUUAUUUUCUUAGGUACUUCAAAUAGUCUAGAUAAACUCUAACAGGCCGAUCGUCUAUUCGAAAGUCAAAGUCGAAAAUAAUUGCGAAGCACGGAGGAGUCCGUGCUAUCCAUAACAUACCAAGCCCCACACACACACAGCAACACGACACACAUAAACACAGAGAGAGUAGAGAGGAGCGAGCAGAAGAGGAAGAGAGAGAGAGAUAACUUGGCGGUUAGGAACAUCGGUAGCACGGAGGCCUCCGUCGUUACCAAGUUGUUUUGCGAUGAUGCAGUGUUCAAAUCGACGAUCGCUACGUUUAGACAUAUCUACAAUAUUAAAAGAUAUUUAAUUGGAACUAAAUUUCAUAACUUUUCGACUAUUUGGCAGUGAUUAAACAGUCCGUCAAAACUGACAAUUUAAUGUAGAUGUGAUAUUUGUGAGUUUACCGUGCUAAACUCAACAAAUCUGAAUAGAAUUUCUAUAAAAAGUUCUUUUCAAACUAUUUAGAGUAAGAUCAACAACUCUGAUCUUAAUAUUAAGUCUUUUGAUCAUCAUUAUUUAUGAGAAUUUUAUUUCCAGCCGUUCAUAUUUAUACUCUUCAGUAUAUAGGUUAAUAUGCCAAAAUUAUAUGAAAUGUUAAGUUUCCAAAAUACUUUUAAUAGUGUAGAUCAAGAUCUACGAAGCCGAUCGUCGAUUUGGAGAGUUGCAUCAUUGAAAAUAACAUGUAGCACGGAGGACUCCGUAGCUAGCCGUAGAUAUACCAGCUAUCUCUCUCUCUCUCUCUCUGCUAUAUAUAUACAUAUUAUUAAAUAUUAUAUAAAGAGAGACUUGAGACGAUGAGAGAGAGAGAGAGAGAGAGAGAGUCCGGCUGGGAUACUAUCGAUAGCACGAAGUAUUUGGUGCUAUCAAGUUUUCUGCCAUUAGAUUCACCUCUUUUAUCAUUUUCAUCUAUUCGAUUAUACUAUUCAACUAACAACCCACUCAACCCUAUGGGGCCACAUCAUCCUAACCGCACAUCUUUUAAUCAAAGGGCAGAAAAGUUAAUAGCACCAAGUAAUUGGUGUUAUUAAUAGUAUUCCAGCCUAUUUCUAUAUAUAUAUAUAUAGUAGGUCUUGUGUGCUAUUAGGAGCCUAGAGCACUCUGUGCUCCUAAGCCGUUUUCGAUGAUAAAGCUUUUGAAUUGACGAUCAGCUCCGUUAGACUUGAUCUAGCGUAUUUGAAGUAUCUAGAAAAUAAAUUUUGCGAUUUUUUGAUAUCAUUUAUUUACUUAAUGAUCGAAAGGGUUCAAAAUCAACGGCUAAAAAUAA